GUUGACCGCCUAUGAUUGACCGCACCGAGAUCACAUAUGCAUGGUACAACUGAGUGACCGACUUACGGUACUUACACGCGACGUGUAUCGCCGAGGUGGGGAGGGCGACAUGUUUUUUAAAUGACCAUCACACCCUUUGAAGUUGUAAGGACAGAUCGCCGGUGUCCAUGUGUUUAUAGAAGGGGGGAGUUGUACCGAAACAAAAGUGGACUAAUUAAUAGAGGUAGUGAACACCGGGGUGGGGGGAGGUGGGGGGUAUAUACUAGUAAGUUCAUAAGUAUGGUGUGAUCUAGCUGGCGCUAGUUAGGUUCAUCAAUAUGGAGUGCUCUAACUAUUGUCUCUCAAUGUGUACAUGCAUGCAUUAUUCUCGUGAAAUAUGGUUAAGCACUCACCACAAAAGUGUUUUGUCACAUGUGAAACAUCUGCAAAACCAAGCAACCACACAAUAAUAGUGACGGGCUUGGGGGGAGGGGGGGAGCCACUAUAAAGGAGCCAUUGUGUUACACUUACUUUCAAGGUACAUAUCAUAGCCGCACUUGUCAUGAGAUGAGAAAUACCACACUACUACAUAGUUGAAAGAGGCACCCAUAUAAUUUAGAUAUUAAACGAGACAUUAGAAGAAAACGGAAGGAAUGAGUUUCGAUUCUCCUGAUCCUGAAAUUAACGAUAGAUUUCUCCCACAGCUUCACUGGCUCGACCUCAACGGACUACGCGCAUUGCCGGUUAGCGGCAACACUGGUAUCACGAGCUGGAGUCGGCCUAUCCGGAGAUGGCCUCCUUCUGCGGCGCCAUCCAGAAGAAGGCGAACGCCCAGAAGAUGCUAUGCAUGGAUGCCGCUGGAGACCGGGAAUGGACGUCCAUCGGCGAGCAGCUCCGGGCGCUGGACAGAGAUGUGGAGGGUGGAGCAGAUGCUGGCAUGGUACGAGGAUCUGUGUGCGGCGGCUGCAUGCGGAGCUGCCAUGCAUCCUUGCCGUGCACCCGAGGUCCCACACUUGCAAGUAGUACAUAGUAGUCUCUGAUUUCCAUGUGUACAGGGAUCACCUAUGUGAGAGACAGGUGCCUGAAGCUUUAUCUUGUUUCAGUUAAAAUGUUCCAUGUCCAUUGGAUUUUGAUCCAAAGACUGAAGUAGAAGCAAGCAUCGCUCAUUGUUGGGUUGACAGAAAGUUUCUUUGCUUCAAUCGACUUUAUGCAUAGAUGUACUAGACAUUUUUCUUUUGUGUGAAGUAGUACUAUACAUAUCAUGUAAUCCACUAGUUAAGACUUGUCCUUUAUGCAUGCACAUGUAAUCACUGUAUAACCAUCACCAGCUAUAGGACUUCAAAAAGAUCAUCACAUUGCAUCAUGUAUAUACAUUUUCUGUGAUAAGUGUAUUUGCUUGCACGCACAUACACCAUAACUUUACAAAUUAAUGGAAGGGGAAAAUAGGGAAUUAAAACAAUGAUUCUAGUCUUUCAUUUUUAGCAGCCAUUAUGCUAAUUUUAUUUUAUUUAGAAUUAGACAAUAUAUUCCAUUGGUCAUAUCAAAUUUCUGCAAUAUUCCUACACUAUGGGCUAUAAGGUGUGAAAUUAAGAUAAACACAACAACCUGGUACUAUGAAAUCCAUUGCAAUACAAAACCUAUAACAAAUAUAAAAAUAAACAUAAACAUAAUUUUUAUAGGGAAGGAUGUAUUAAAGGCACUGGUAUUACCCUAAACAAAAAUAUAAAUGAAAGAAAAACUUGGUAUUCUAAAUGUCACAUUCUUUUCUACUCCCGACGUUUACAUAAGACAUUUUGGACACUUGACAUAGAAUUGUUUUGGGCGUUGUGUGAAUUGUCUAAACAUCUUAUAAACGUGAACGGAGGGAGUAUAAGUUUGGUCAAACUUCAAAAGGUUUGACAUAAGACAAAACUAAUACGCAUGGUAAAAAAAAGGAAGGAGUAUUAUGCAAAUAUGCCUGACAUGAACAAUCACAAAGUGCUUUUGUCAAAAAUUAUUAUUGUAUGGAGAAAUCGAAAUAUAUUUAAAUUCUGCACACUAAAUAUGCAAAAACUUGCACGGUUAACUAUUGUGCAAGCACACGUGUAAACUAGUGUAAAUAUAAUAAUCAUCAUGAUUCCAGAGAGAUUAACACACACAAAAAUAAUUAUAAUUUGAGUUUCUAGAAAAAAAUAAGGACACACAAUUGCGGUAUUAAUAUGUUGUCGCGUGCACAAAUCUUCAAAUGUCGGUGUCCAAGUUUAUGUUCAUAAUCUCAUGGGCGAAUGAGUCAUAUACCUUCGUUCUUAAGUGCAGAUGAUAAUGGGCUAUUGGUUUGUCAAAAUGAUGGUGUUUCGGCACAGUCGCAUGCAACACUUCGUUUCUGUGUUUGCGCCUUCUUUUUUGACCAACUUAUGGUACAAUGGAUCACUAUAUUAGUUUUGUCUCCUUUUUUAUUUUUGAGCUAAUUUGUGUUGUCGUAUGUAUACCACGUCGCUUUGUCCGUUUCUCAAAAAAUACAACUGGUUACAAGUAUAUCUGGUUCUUGUUCCUCGCUAUGCUACUGUGACUAGUAGAAAACAGGGCUUUGAUUCAUGAGCCCAGGGGACGGCCGGGGCCUCGUCUGGACCCAUUUGUCUCGGUUCUAGGCACGAACCGAGACCAAUGGGCCGCGCUCCUGACCCACAUCCACUGGUACCGGUUCGUGCCUUGAACCGAUAUAGAAGGGGUGCUUUAGUCCCGGUUUAUGUCACGAACCGGGACAGAUAAUUUGUCUAUAUAUACCCAUCGUCGCGGCAGAGCACUCUGUUUUUUCUGGUCGGCAAGGGGAGGGCAUUUGGGUGCUCUAGCUCACCUCCUAUGCACAUGAGGUGUUCGAUGAAAUGCCCGAGCCACACUAGUUAAGCUUUCUCCUCUCGAAGCUCGACCUCGGAGCUCCAUUUUUCCCGAGAUUUGUCUAGAUUUAGCGGUCCGUCACGCCCCGUCCCCGUUUUCACCGCCGUUGAUCGUCCGCGUCGAUCUCGUCGCCGGCACCACUGUGGUGAGCCUCUUGUUCUUAUCUUCUUUCUGAUUUUCUUACUUUAUAUAGAGACUUGUCUGAUUUUCUUACUUUUGAUAGAUACUUGUGUGAUUUUCUUACUUUUGACACACAUAUUAUAUAUAAUGCACGUAGAUGAACAGGACAAUGGAUGUAUGGUGACAGACACACCUCCGAGUACAUUAAGGGCGUGCAUAAUUUUGUCGAAGUGGCUGAGGCAAACAAGCAGAAUGGUUUUAUGUGUUGUCCAUGCCCUAAAUGUGGGAAUACGAAGUCUUAUUCUGACCGGAAAAUCCUUCACACCCACCUGCUUUACAAGGAUUUCAUGCCACACUAUAAUGUUUGGACGAGGCACGGAGAAAUAGGGGUUAUGAUGGAAGACGACGAAGAAGAAGAGGACGAUGACAACUAUGUGCCCCCUCAAUACCAUGAUGCUACAACGGGGGGAGCUGCUGAAGAUCAAGAGGAACCAGACGAUGUGCCCGAUGAUGCUGCAACGGGGGAAGCUGCUGAAGAUCAAGAGGAACCAGACGAUGUGCCCGAUGAUGAUGAUCUCGGCCAGGUCAUUGUCGAUGCAAAGACGCAAUGCGAAAGUCAAAAGGAGAAGCUGAAGUUCGAUCGCAUGUUAGACGAUCACAAAAAAGGGUUGUACCCCAAUUGCGAAGAUGGAAACACAAAGCUGGGUACCGUACUAGAAUUGCUACAGUGGAAGGCAGAGAAUGUUGUGCCUGACAAAGGAUUUGAGAAGCUACUGAAAAUAUUGAAGAAGAAGCUUCCAAAGGAUAACGAAUUGCCCGACAGUACGUACGCAACAAAGAAGGUCGUAUGCCCUCUAGGAUUGGAGGCGUAGAAGAUACAUGCAUGCCCUAAUGACUGCAUCCUCUACUGCGGUGCGUACAAGGAUUUGAACGCAUGCUCGGUAUGUGGUGCAUUGUGGUAUAAGAUCAGACGAGAUGACCCUGGUGAUGUUGACGGCAAACCCCGCAGGAAGAGGGUUCCUGCGAAGGUGAUGUGGUAUGCUCCUAUAAUACCAUGGUUGAAACGACUGUUCAGAAACAAAGAGCAUGCCAAGUUGAUGCGAUGGCACAGUGAGGACCGUAAGAAAGACGGAAAGUUGAGAGCACCCGCUGACAGGUCGCAGUGGGAAAAAAAUCGAAAGAUAGUACUAGGCUGAGUUUGCACGUGACAAAAGUGAACGUAUGGUUUGGUUUAAGCGCGGAUGGCAUUAAUCCUUUCGGGGAGCAGAGCAGCAAUCACAACACCUGGCCCGUGACUCUAUGUAUGUAUAACCUUCCUCCUUGGAUGUGCAUGAAGCGGAAGUUUAUUAUGAUGCCAUUUCUCAUCCAAGGCCCUAAGCAACCCGGCAACGACAUUAAUGUGUACCUAAGGGCAUUAGUUGAAGAAAUUUUACAGCUGUGGAAUGGAAACGGAGUACGUGUGUGGGAUGAGCACAGACAGGAGGAAUUUGACCUGCACGCUUUGCUGUUUGUAACCAUCAACGAUUGGCCCGCUCUUAGUAACCUUUCAGGACAAACAAACAAGGGAUACCACACAUGCACGCACUGUUUAGCUGACACCGAAAAGUAUAUACCUGGACAAAUGCAGGAAGAAUUCGUACUGAUGUCAGCUGAGCUUCCCUAGCAAAGGCGCUAGAAAAUGCUGACUCCGUAACAGCAGACCUUCCCUUGCAACAUCACCAGAAGAAUGUUGUUGACGGUCCACCAGUGCGUGGGAUCGUAGCAGUUUUCGAGGAUAGAGUAUUCGACCCAAAUUUGUUGGUUCGCACGACGGGAGGUGAGAGAAUACUCUCAAGUAUUAGCAGCUGAAUAUGUCAGAUACAACCACACCUGAAAGAUUAGUAUCUGCAAGCAAAGUAGUAACAGCAAAGUAGCGAGUAACGACAGUGGCAAGGAGCACCAGUAGUGACAGCAGUAGCAAGUAGCAACAGUAGCAAGCGACAAUAGUAGCAACAGUAGCAGCAGAGCAAGACAAGUAACAACAGCAGUGGGACAAACUCGUAGGCAAUGGGUCAGUGAUUUGUUUGGAUGAUAUUCAUCCUGCAACAGUUAUAACACAGAGAGAUAUGUGGCUAGCUCCCGUUCGUCAAUGUGAUGUAGGCAUGCAUUCCGUGUGUCGUCAUACGUGUUUAGGGAAAAUAACUUGCAUGGCAUCUAUUGUCCAUCCCUCCCGUGGCAGCGGGGUCCAAAAGGAAACUACGGGAUAUUAAUGUUCACCUUCUAAUAAAUAACCGGACCAACGCAUUAGCACCUGGUGAACACAUGAACUCCUCAAACUAUGGUCAUCAACGGGAGUGGUUCCGGUUAUUGUCACUCCGGGGUUGCCGGAUCAUAACACAUAGUAGGUAACUACAACUUGCAAGAUUGAAUCUAAAACACACAUAUAUUGGUGACAACAUAACAAUUUCAGAUCUGAAAUCAUGGCACUCGGGCCCUAGUGACAAGCAUUAAGCAUGGCAAAGUAGUAGCAACAUCAAUCUCAGAACAUAGUGGAUACUAGGGAUCAAUCCCCAUCAAAACUAACACAAUUACAUGAUAGAUCUCAUCCUACUCAUCACCGCCCAGCGAGCCUACGAAUAGAUUACUCACGAACGAUGAAGAGCUUCAUGGAAUUGUAGAGGGAAGAAGGUUGAUGAUGACGAUGGCGACGAUUUCCCCUCUCCGGAGCCCAAGACGGACUCCAGAUCUGCCCUCCAAAUGAAGAACAGGUUGCGGCGGCGCCUCCCUAUCGCAACCGCGAUGAAAACUUCUCUUUUUAUUUUUUCUGGGGACGAAAGUGAACUUAUAGACCUGAGGUUGGGGGCGGCAGAGCUGUGUGGGCCCCACAAGCCUGCCCACCGCCACCAAGGGGGGUGGUGGCGGAGCCAGGGCUUGUGGCCCACUGGCCCACCCCCUCAGGUGGAACUUGGCGCAGAUAUUUUUCAUAUUUUCCAUAAAUGAUCUCCGUAAAUUUUCAGGACGUUUGGAGAACUUUGAUUUCUGCACAAAAAUAACACCAAGGAAAUUCUGCUGAAAACAGCGUCAGUCCAGGUUAGUUCCAUUCAAAUCAUGCAAAUUAGAGUCCAAAACAAGGGCAAAAGAGUUUGGAAAAGUAGAUACGAUGGAGCCAGAUCAUGUACCUGGGCCAUCGUCGAUUUCUUCCGACCAAUCAUCAAUGUCGAAAUAAAGGCAAGCAUUUCAAAGGCGAGGCAGAUCACCGGAAGAAGCCCGUCAAGCGUAACGGUGAUCACGUACUUGCUAUGGUCAAUGAUUUAAAAGUAAUCUUCAGAAAGGGUCCCGAUGGACUAUCUGUUCCGAGUGACGAUGCAGGACACACACCCAUGUGGAAGAAGAAAUCUAUAUUUUGGGACCUACCCUACUAGAAAGACCUAGAGGUCCGCUCUUCGAUCGACGUGAUGCACGUCACGAAGAACCUUUGUGUGAACCUUCUAGGCUUCUUGGGCGUGUAUGGGAAGACAAAAGAUACAGCUGAAGCAUGGGAGGACCUGUAACGUUUGCAUGAAAAAGACGGCAUGCCUCCAAAGCAGUAUGAAGGUCCUGCCAGCUACGCUCUUACCAAAGAAGAGAAGGAAAUCUUCUUUGAAUGCCUGCUUAGUAUGAAGGUCCCGACUGGCUUCUCAUAGAAUAUGAAGGAAAUAAUAAAUAUGGCAGAGAAAAAGUUCCAGAACCUAAAGUCUCAUGACUGCCACGUGAUUAUGACGCAACUACUUCCGGUUGCAUUGAGGGGGCCUUCUACCGGAAAACGUAUGAUUAGCCAUUUUGAAGCUAUGUGCAUUCCUCAAUGCAAUCUCUCAGAAGGUGAUCGAUCCAGAAAUCAUACUAAGGCUAAGGAGUGAUGUGGUGCAAUGUCUUGUCAGUUUCGAGCUGGUGUUCCCACCAUCCUUCUUCAAUAUCAUGACGCACGUCCUAGUUCAUCUAGUUGACGAGAUUGUCAUUCUCGGCCCCGUAUUUCUACACAAUAUGUACCCCUUUGAGAGGUUCAUGGGAGUCCUAAAGAAAUAUGUCCGUAACCGCGCUAGGACAGAAGGAAGCAUCUCCAUGGGCCAUCAAACAGAGGAUGUCAUUGGGUUUUGUGUUGACUUCAUUCCUGGCCUUAAGAAGAUAGGUCUUCCUAAAUCACAGUAUGAGGGGAGACUGACUGUAAAAGGCACGCUUGGAGGGGACUCAAUAAUAUGCAGGGAUGGAUAUUCUUGGUCUCAAGCACACUACACAGUACUAAUGAACUCUACCUUGGUGACCCCGUAUGUCGAUGAACACAAGAACAGUCUACGCUCCAAACACCCGGAGCGGUGCGACGACUGGAUUACAAGUGAACACAUGAGGACUUUCAGCAGUUGGUUGGAAACACGUCUCAGAGGUGAGAACACUGUUUGUGCUGAGUUGUACUCGAUGUCCAGGGGACCAUCUUCAACUGUAUUGACUUACAAAGUAUACGAGAUAAAUGGGAAUACAUUUUACACGAUCGCCCAAGAUCAAAAGAGCACCAACCAAAACAGCGGUGUCCGCUUUGAUGCAGCAACCGAGAGGGGAAUAGACACAUAUUAUGGUUACAUAGUGGACAUAUGGGAACUGGAAUACAGACAUGAUUUUAAGGUCCCUUUGUUUAAGUGCAAAUGGAUUAAUCUGUCAGGAGGCGGGGUACAGGUAGACCCACAAUACGGAAUGACAACACUGGAUCUAAACAAUCUUGGGUACACUCACGAACUGUUCGUCCUAGCCAGUGAUGUGGCACAGGUUAUCUAUGUGAAGGACAUGUCUACCAAACCGAGAAAAAGAAAAGAUAAGGAACCGAAUACAUCAUACAAUGAGCCAAAGCGCCACAUAGUUCUUUCAGGAAAAAGGGACAUCUUGGGAGUGGAGGGCACGACAGACAUGUCCGAAGAUUAUGAAAAGUUUCAUGAAAUUCCUCCCUUCAAAGUCAAGGCUGACCCAAGCAUCCUCAUAAAUGAUGAAGAUUAUCCAUGGUUACAGCGCAAUAAGGAAAGGACACAAGCGAAGAAAAAGUAAAGACUUUCUGCACAACUAUUAUGAUGAUACCAUGCCAACUUUCAACCUUUUCGUAGUUCAUUUGACAUGCCUGUUGUAACAGACAAGUUUCCGUAUGAAAUCCUGAUACUUCGAAAGAGAUUGUCCGUUUUGUACACGAAGUGCAUCCAGUUUUUGCCGUAACCCUCUCAACUUUCUUGCAUAUGCUAUGUGGAUGAAAUGAUGAUACCAUGCCAAAUUCCAACCUUUUCAGAGUUUAUUUUAAAUGCUUUUCAAUUUCAGGGUCUUAUAGCUCAAAAUAAUCAGUAAAUGCAUGAAAAAUAACAUAUGAAGUCAGAAAGCGAUGAAAAUUAAUGAUGUAAGUAGAAACCAAAUAAAGUAAAAUAAACUUUAAUAAAACAAGAAGUCUGGACUAAAAGAAUUAUCAUAAAAGAAAAAUAAAUAAGUAAUUAGAAUUUUGUUACAAACUUUAAUAGCAAAAAGAAUUAUCAUAAAAGAAAUUAAAUAAGUAAUUAUAAUUUUAUUACAAACUUUAAUAGCAAAAAGAAUUAUCAUAAAAGAAAAUAAAUCAGUAAUUAGAAUUUUGUUACAAACUUUAAUAGCAAAAAUAAUUAUCAUAAAAGAAAAUAAAUAAGUAAUUUGCAACAAAAAAAAAAGCAAAAAAACUAGAAAAAAAUUAAACAUAGCACCGCACCAAACCAGCACACACGGCCAAAAAACAAAAAUUUAGUUGUAAGUAGAAACAAAAGAAAAAAAGUAAAGAAAAAAACAUAGCAAAAAGUAAUGGAAAAAGAUUAAAAAAAUAGAUGCAAAUUUAUCGAGAAAAUUCAACCCAAAUUCAAAGUACUAGUUAGCUUAACUGGCUAACUAGCACUUUGAAUUUAGGUUGAAUUUUGUCUUUAAAUUCGAGCUCGAUGUUGCAGCCGCGGCGGAGCUUAUAAACAGGUUCAGGAGCCCUUCACUUGGCGAGGUGGGACUAAACAUCCAACCGCACUGCGGCUGUGGCAGACACAUGCCUUUAGUCCCGGUUUGUGGCUCCAACCGGGACGAAAGGCCUCUGCUUCCCGCCCUUCGGGCUGCUGAAAAGAGACCUUUGGUUCCGGUUGGUGGCUCCAACCGAGACUAAUGCCCCCUUUAGUCCCGGUUGGUGCCACUAACCGGGACCAAAGUUCUGUGUUUCCCGCCCUUUGGGCUGCUGAAAAGAGGCCUUUGGUCCCGGUUGGUGGCACCAACCGGGACCAAAGGCGUUUUAUAUAUAAGCCAACACUUGAAAUUUUGACAUUGGUAUCGCCACCAUUGCCCCCCGCCCGACGACGCCGCGAGCUCAUCCACAGCGCCGCAAGGCUGCCCCGGUCGCUGUGGCCCGUCGGCCGCCGCCGUCGCCCUCCGCCCCCCGAGCCCACGCCGUCGCCCGUCGACGUCGCCCUCCGCCCGCUGAUAUCAGCUGUGUAUCCCCGGCAACGGCGCCAGAAAUACUUCUGCUAACUCAAAAAGAUCUCCAGCAAUGGCGCUAGAAAUUGUCGUGUCGAUGGCACCAAGAAUCCUUCAGCUGCGGCUACGACUUAAGGGACUUCCUAGGCAAGUAUGCAAAGGAUUUCCCCCGUGGCCUUGGAGCCUUGCGUUGGUGUUCCCUCGAAGCGGAAAGGGUGAUGUAGCACAGCGGUGGUAAGUACUUCCCUCAGUUUGAGAACCAAGGUAUCAAUCCGAUGGAGAAGUAUCUCAAGAUCCUGCACAAACACAAAAGCUUGCUCCAAAUGCUAUGAAGGGGUUGUCAAUCCCUUAUAGAUUGUUUGCCAAGUGAGAACUGAAAGCAACAAAGUAACAAAGCAAAGUAAAAGCGGAGGUGUAAACGAUGGAUGUGAACAGACCCGGGGUCCGUAGUGUUUACUAGUGGCUUCUCUCAUGAAAGGAAGUAGACGGUGGGUGUACAAAUUACUGUCGAGCAAUUGAUAGAACCGCGCAAAGUUGUGACGAUGUCUAUGCAAUGAUUAUUUCUAUAGGCAUCAUGUCCAAAACAAGUAGACCGAUACUGUCUGCAUCUACUACUAUUACUCGACACGUCGACCACUAUCCAGCAUGCAUCUAGUGUAUUAAGUCCAUAAGAACAGAGUAACGCCUUAAGCAAGAUGACAUGAUGUAGAGGCAUAAUCUCAAACCAAUGAUAAAACUCCCAUCUUUUUACCCUUGAUGGCAACUACUUGAUGUGUGCCUUGCUGCCCCUAUUGUCACUAGGAAAGGUCACCACAUGGCAGAACCCAAAACCAAGCACUUCUCCCAUUGCAAGAAUCAUAGAUCUAGUUGGCCAAACAAAACCCAAGACUCGGAGAGACUUACAAGGAUAUCAAAUCAUGCAUAUAAGAAAUCAGCAAAGACUCAAAUAUAUAUCAUAGAUAAUCUGAUCACAAAUCCACAAUUCAUCGGAUCUCGACAAACACACCGCCAAAGAGGAUUACAUCGGAUAGAUCUCCAUGAAGAUCAUGGAGAACUUUGUAUUGAAGAUCCAAGAGAGAGAAGAAGCCAUCUAGCUACUAACUACGGACCCGUAGAUCUGAAGUGAACUACUCACGAGUCAUUGGAGGGGCGAUGAUGUUGAUGUAGAAGCCCUCCAACUCCAAAGUCCCCUCUGGCAGGGCACUGACUCCGUAACAGCAGACCUUCCCUUGCAACGGCACCAGAAGAAUGCUGCUAGCACGCUCCGGCAAUUGAAACUAGAAGAAUGUUGUUGACGGCCCACCAGCGCGUGGGAUCGUAGCAGUUUUCGAGGGUAGAGUAUUCAACCCAAAUUUGUUGAUUCGCCAAACAGGAGGUGAGAGAAUACUCUCGAGUAUUAGCAGCUGAAUUUAUCAGAUUCAACCACACCUGAAAGAUUAGUAUCUGUAAGAAAAGUAGUAAUAGCAAAUUAGCGAGUAACGGCAAUGGAACGGCACAUCAGUAGUGACAGCAGUAGCAAGUAGCAACAGUAGCAAGCGAUAGUAGUAGCAAUAGUAGCAGCAGAGCAAGACAAGUAACAACAGCAAAGCAAGACAAGUAACAACAGCGGUAGGACAAACUCGUAGGCAAUGGGUCGAUGAUUUGUUUGGAUGAUAUUCAUCAUGCAACAGUUAUAACACGGAGAGAUAUGUGGCUAGCUCCCGUUCGUCAAUGUGAUGUAGGCAUGCAUUCCGUGUGUCGUCAUACGUACUUAGGGAAAAGAACUUGCAUGACAUCUAUUAUACAUCCCUCCCGUGGCAGCGGGGUCCAAAAGGAAACUACCAGAUAUUAAGGUUCCCCUUUUAAUAAAGAACCGGACCAACGCAUUAGCACUUGGUGAACACAUGAACUCCUCAAACUAUGGUCAUCACCAGGAGUGGUUCCGGUUAUUGUCACUCAGGGGUUGCCGGAUCAUAACACAUAGUAGGUAACUACAACUUGCAAGAUCGGAUCUAAAACACACAUAUAUUGGUGACAACAUAAUAAUUUCAGAUCUGAAAUCAUGGCACUCGGGCCCUAGUGACAAGCAUUAAGCAUGGCAAAGUAGUAGCAACAUCUCUCAGAACAUAGUGGAUACUAGGGAUCUUAUCCCCGUCAAAACUAACUCGAUUACAUGCUAGAUCUCAUCCUACUCAUCACCGCCCAGCGAGCCUACGAAUAGAUUACUCACGAACGACGAAGAGCUUCAUGGAAUUGGAGAGGGAAGAAGGUUGAUGAUGAUGAUGGCGACGAUUUCCCCUCUCUGGAGACCAAAACGGACUCCAGGUCUGCCCUCCAGAUGAAGAACAGGUUGUGGAGGAGCUCUGUAUCGCAAACGCGACGAAAUCUUCUCUUUUUAUUUUUUCUGGGACGAAAGUGAACUUAUAGAGCUGAGGUUGGGGGCGGCAGGGCUGUGUGGGCCCCACAAGCUUGCCCACCGCCACCAGGGGGUGGCGGAGGCAGGGCUUGUGGCCCGCUCACCCACCCCCUCAGGUGGAUCUUAGCGCAGAUAUUUUUCAUAUUUUCCAAAAAUGCUCCCCGUAAAUUUUCAGGACGUUUGAAGAACUUUGAUUUCUGCACAAAAACAACACCAAAGCAAUUCUGCUGAAAACAACGCCAGUCCAGGUUAGUUCCAUUCAAAUCAUGCAAACUAGAAUCCAAAACAAGGGCAAAAGAGUUUGGAAAAAUAGAUACGAUGGAGACGUNAACAUAAAUGCAGAGCACAUUCAAAGAUCAAGGGUGACUAAACAUUGUAAUUCAUAGCAAUGAAGAUCCAGUCAUAGUCAUACUCAAUAUCAAUCAAAAGCAAAGCAUAAAAAUGACAGAGGUGCUCUCUAAUUGGUGCUUGUAAAAGAAGAGGAUGACUCAACAGGAAAAUAAAUAGACAGGCCCUUCGUAGAGGGAAGCAUUGAUUUUGGGUGGCAUGCUUUCAUUGUCAGCAUGCUUUCAUUGUCAACGCAAUGACUGAUGACCCACAAGUAUAGGGGAUCAAUCGUAGUCCUUUCGAUAAGUAAGAGUGUCGAACCCAACGAGGAGUAGAAGGCUCUGAUAAACGGAUUUCAGCAAGGUAAUAACUGCAAGCACUGAAAGUAGCGGUAACAAGUGAUUGUGUAGCGAGGUGAAACGUAGCAAGCAAAGAGUAACAAGUAACAAGUAGUAGCAACGGUGCAGAAAGUGGCCCACUCCCUUUUGUAGAAAGGGACAAUCCUGAACAAAGUCUUAUAGGAGGAAAAACGCUCCCGAGGACACACGGGAAUUUCUGUCAUGCUAGUUUCAUCAUGUUCAUAUGAUUCGCGUUCGUUACUUUGAUAGUUUGAUAUGUGGGUGGACCGGCGCUUGGGUACUGCCCUUACUUGGACAAGCAUCCCACUUAGAUUAACCUCUCUUGCAAGCAUCCGCAACUACGAAAGAAGAAUUAAGACAAAGUCUAACCAUAGCAUUAAACUAGUGGAUCCAAAUCAGCCCCUCACUACUUCGGUUUAAGCUUCUGUCACUCCAGCAACCCAUCAUCUACUUACUACUCCCCAAUGCCUUCCUCUAGGCCCAAAUAUGGUGAAGUGUUGUGUAGUCGACGUUCACAUAACACCACUAGAGGAAAAACAACAUACAUCAUAUCAAAAUACCGAAUGAAUAUCAAAUUCACAUGACUAUUAUCAGCAUGACUUAUCGCAUGUCCUCAGGAACAAAAGUAACUACUCACAAAGCAUAAUCAUAAUCAUGAUCAGUGGUGUAAUGAAUAGUUAUUAUUAUACGAAUCCUUGGCACUGAGGUUCAAACGAUAAGAAUGAAGACUCAUUUACAUGUGUGGAUACAUAGACAAAACACCGUCCCUAGCAAGCCUCUAGUUGGCUAGCCAGUUGAUCAAAGAUAGUCAGUGUCUUCUGAUUAUGAACAAGGUGUUGUUGCUUGAUAACUGGAUCACGUCAUUAGGAGAAUCACGUGAUGGACUAGACCCAAACUAAUAGACGUAGCAUGUUGAUCGUGUCAUUUUGUUGCUACUGUUUUCUGCGUGUCAAGUAUUUAUUCCUGUGACCAUGAGAUCAUAUAACUCACUGACACCGGAGGAAUGCUUUGUGUGUAUCAAACGUCGCAACGUAACUGGGUGAUUAUAAAGAUGCUCUACAGGUAUCUCCGAAGGUGUUAGUUGAGUUAGUAUGGAUCAAGACUGGGAUUUGUCACUCCGUGUGAACGGAGAGGUAUCUUGGGGCCCACUCGGUAAUACAACAUCACACACAAGCCUUGCAAGCAAUGUAACUUAGUGUAAGUUGCGGGAUCUUGUAUUACGGAACGAGUAAAGAGACUUGCCGGUAAACGAGAUUGAAAUAGGUAUACGGAUACUGACGAUCGAAUCUCGGGCAAGUAACAUACCGAAGGACAAAGGGAAUGACAUACGGGAUUAUAUGAAUCCUUGGCACUGAGGUUCAAACGAUAAGAUCUUCGUAGAAUAUGUAGGAUCCAAUAUGGGCAUCCAGGUCCCGCUAUUGGAUAUUGACCCAUGUCUACAUAGUUCUCGAACCCGCAGGGUCUGCACACUUAAGGUUCGACGUUGUUUUAUGCGUAUUUGAGUUAUAUGGUUGGUUACCGAAUGUUGUUCGGAGUCCCGGAUGAGAUCACGGACAUCACGAGGGUUUCCGGAAUAGUCCGGAAACGAAGAUUGAUAUAUAGGAUGACCUCAUUUGAUUACCGCAAGGUUUUCGGAGUUACCGGGAAUGUACCGGGAAUGACGAAUGGGUUCCGGGAGUUCACUGGGGGGGCAACCCACCCCGGGGAAGCCCAUAGGCCUUGAGGGUGGCUCACCAGCCCUUAGUGGGCUGGUGGGACAGCCCAAAAGGGCUCUAUGCGCCAAGAAGAGAAAAUCAAGAGAAAAGGAAAAAAAAAGGAGGAGGUGGGAAGGAAGGGGGACUCCCUCCCACCAAACCAAGUUCAACUCGGUUUAGGGGGGGAGUCCUCCCCCCUUGGACUCGGCCGACCCCCUUGGGGCUCCUUGAGCCCCAAGGCAAGGUCCCCCCUCUCCCACCUAUAUAUACGGAGGUUUUAGGGCUGAUUUGAGACGACUUUUCCACGGCAGCCCGACCACAUACCUCCACGGUUUUUCCUCUAGAUCGCGUUUCUGCGGAGCUCGGGCGGAGCCCUGCUGAGACAAGGUAAUCUCCAACCUCCGGAGCGUCGUCACGCUGCCGGAGAACUCUUCUACCUCUCCGUCUCUCUUGCUGGAUCAAGAAGGCCGAGAUCAUCGUUGAGCUGUACGUGUGCUAAACGCGGAGGUGCCGUCCGUUUGGUACUAGAUCGUGGGACUGUUCGCGGGAUUGUUCGCGGGGCGGAUCAAGGGACGUGAGGCCGUUCCACUACAUCAACCGCGUUCACUAACGCUUCUGCUGUACGAUCUACAAGGGUACGUAGAUCACUCAUCCCCUCUCGUAGAUGGACAUCACCAUGAUAGGUCUUCGUGCGCGUAGGAAUUUUUUUUGUUUCCCAUGUGACGUUCCCCGAUAUCAUCUACUUACUACUCCCCAAUGCCUUCCUCUAGGCCCAAAUAUGGUGAAGUGUUGUGUAGUCGACGUUCAAUUAACACCACUAGAGGAAAAACAACAUACAUCAUAUCAAAAUACCGAACGAAUAUCAAAUUCACAUGACUAUUAUCAGCAUGACUUAUCCCAUGUCCUCAGGAACAAAAGUAACUACUCACAAAGCAUAAUAAUAAUCAUGAUCAGAGGUGUAAUGAAUAGCAUGAAGGAUCUGAACAUAAACUCUUCCACCAAGUAAUCCAACUAGCAUCAACUACAAAGAGUAAUCAACACUACUAGCAACCUUACAAGUACCAAUCGGAGUUGCGAGACGAAGAUUGGUUACAAGAUAUGAACUAGGGAUUGGAGAGGAGAUGGUGUUGAUGAAGAUGUUGAUGAAGAUGCCUCCCCUCCGACGAGAGGAGUGUUGGUGAUGAUGAUGGCAACGAUUCCUCCCCUUCGGAAGGGAUGUUUCCCCGGCAGGAUCGUCCUGCCGGAACUCUAGAUUGGAUCUGCUCAAGUUCCGCCUCGUGGCGGCGGCGAAACCACGAAAAAGCUCCCUCUUGAUUUUUUCUGGACUAGGACGCUUCUUAUAGCAAAAGAGGGGGCCUAGUGGGCCGUCAGGGAGCCCACAAGCCCCCACUCCACCACCAGGGGGGUGGCGGUGUCAGGGCUUGUGGCGCCCUAGCAGCCCCCCUUCGUUAGUUCUUUCGCCUAGUAUUUUUUAUAUAAUCCAGAAAAAAUCCAUGUAACUUUUCAGGGCAUUUGGAGAUGUGCAGAAUAGUGAACUAGGAUUUGCUCCUUUUCCAGUCCAGAAUUCCAGCUGCCUGAUUUCUCCCUCUUCAAAUAAACCUUGCAAAAUAAGAGAGAAAAGGCAUAAAUAUGGUACCACAAGUAAUGUAACAGCCCAAAAACCAAUAAAUAUCAACAUGAAAGCAUGAUUCAAAAUGGACGUAUCAACUCCCCCAAGCUUAGACCUCGCUUGUCCUCAAGCGAGAACCAAGUUCCAUAAACAUGUCCGCAUGUUGAGGGACGAAGGUGUCGAUAAGACAUAAUACGGACAUGACGGCAUCAUGAUCACAGAUAGAACAUCAAUACAUCAUAAAGAUUCUUAUGGGAAAGUAACAAUUCCUUCACAAAGCAAAGCAUGAAGCAAAAACCUUACCGAGAAGUAACCAACAAUAAUCCAUAGUCAUUGAAGCAAUUGCAAUUUAUCACAACAUCAGAAAGAGUCAAAUAAGAGCUUGUAAGGCAAACCCACAUACUCAAUCAUCUCUUUCGUUUUCCAUAAUUGUUACAACUCACGUGGUACUCAUGGUGUCAAAGUUUCAGCUGGACACAGAGGAAGAUAGGGGCUUAUAGUUUUGCCUCCCAACGGUUUACCUCAAGGAUAAAGUCGACAACAAUAAAGCAUGAGCACUCAACUCCAAGUUGAUAUAUGAAUAUAGAUCUUUCCCAAACAUGUGACGGUAGCCAAGACAAAGGCAAAAGGGGAAUUGGUGAAGAUCACCAUGACUCUUAGAAGGGUAAAAAGUAAAGGUACAUGAUAGGCCCUUCACAGAGGGAAGCAGAGGUUCUCAUGCGCUUUUGAGGUUUGAAUGUGUGUCCUCUUAGUGCGGAGGAACGUCACUUUAUAUUGUCUCCUGUGAUAAAGAACUUUAUUAUGCAGUCUGUCGCUUUUAUAUCUUCCUCAUCACAGGUUCGUACAAAGCUUAUUUUACACACACUAAUAGAUCAUACAUAUUAGAGAGCAAUUUUUAUUGCUUUCACCGAUGACAACUUACUUGAAGGAUCUUAUUCAAUCCAUAGGUAGAUAUGGUGGACUCUCAUGGAAAAACUGGUUGGAGGUUUAUGGAUGCACAAGUAGUAUCUCUACUUGGUGCUGGAGUUUUGGCUAGUAUGAGGUGGAACAAAUCGUCACAUGCUAAGGGAUCUCUAAUCAUAUAACAUUGUUUGGAACCAAGAAAACACAAUUCAUUAUGUUGUCUUCCUUGUCCAACAUCUACUCCUAGGCAUGUAAUAGCUUGGUGAGUGCUCACAAUUGUAAAAAGUGUCUAAGAUGAUAUAUUUAUAUGUGAACCUCUCUUUCCUUAUUACUUCUUAUUAAUUUCAACAAUGACUAAUGUCUAUGUUGAUUUAUUCUCAACAAGUUUCAAUCAUCAUACGUGUCAUAAGUGAAGUUAUCACUUUCCAUAAGAUCAUCUCAUGAUCUUUCAUGCUAUCGUUCUUUUCAUACUUUUGAUCAUGGCACAAAGCAAAGCCCUUUACUAAGAAACUCUUUAUUAUAUAGCUCGUAAGCUCGAAUACAUCGGGGGAGAGACAAAAGCAAAAGACUCAAACUAAAUACUAAAGACUUAUUCCUCUAAAAGAAGAAAUAAAAACUGAAAAGGAAAGAACUUAAACAAAGGUAAAAGAAAAAGAUAUAAAGGUGCUCCAUCAUGGCAGGAUGAACGAGUCGCCGGAAUACUCAAAUCUGCAGCCAACCUUAUUGAUUUAAAUAUGUACUCAUACUCACAGUUUUGAUUCUGCAGGUCAUAGAUCUGGCCCUGAAGUUGAUCAACCCUAUCAUAAAGCCUGGAGAGGUGUUUCCCAAUAUCAAUGGCAUCCAUCUUGUGAUUGCUAGUGGACUCUGUGAUCAAAGUGUGGUUGGCGUUGAGUCCAUGCUCCACCAUCCCUUGGCACUUGAAGACUUGUUGCUCCAUUGCUUCGAGCCUCGUCUCCACGCUUCCGGUCUUCUUAGGCCCCUCAACAUCACGGAUGUGCAACAUCCCCUCGCUCAUCUUGAUAGAUUGAGGGUGUUUCAGCACUUCCGUGAGGUAGGGUGUCACAUCCCUAACCCUUAAGCAAGAUAGCAUUGUGCUCAUGUCUUCUUUGCAUUUGCAUCUAAGAAGUUUCAACAAAAACAACAAAGUGGCAAAGGAAAAACUCAAAACCCUAGCCACCAUUUCAAUUAAAGGAAAUUUCAAACUAGUUCAAAUCAAUGAACCCAAAAUGGCCUCAAGAAAUGUUCAAACUUUCUGAUAAAUCAUGAAAGUAAAUGAGCAUUGGAGAAAACUAUUUUCUUGACACUUUAAGCAUUUUUAAAUAAAUGCAAAAGCCACUGGUUUCAAAUUUAAAAAUUGAAAUCAGAAACUAUAAUUUUCCAAAAAUGUUGAAAACCUUGGAAAUGAGUGGGGAUAUUAUAACAAAUAUUUCAGGAGGUCUAAAAUAGUUUUUACUUUUUGUUUUGGAGCUGAAAUAAUUAGCAAAGCAAUAAAUAGCAAAACAGAAAAAACAAAAACAGAGGAAAUGGAAAAAGACUUACCUGUCGCCCAAGCUAGGCCCGGCCCAUCUCCCCGCUCGUCCCCUCCCUCGCGCUAGUAGGUAGCAGGAGGUGGCCGCCGCCUCCUCCGGCGUGGCCACGCACCUGCGUGCCUGCCUGGCCGCCGGUUCGCGCUGGCGACGACGGGGAUAAGCUCCCCAGAGCUUCCCCUAUCCAUUCCCCGCCUCGGUUCUCCUCCUCCUCCCGGAUCUCCUCCUUCUCCCUGCUGCCGCCAUUAGAGCCGAGCUCGAGCUCGAGCUGGCCGUGCCCCUGGCCAUAGGAUCCCCUCCCAGAGCACGCCAUUAGCUCCGCCUCGUCGCCCUGGUCGUCUCUGCAGAAGCCGAAGCCUCCUCGAGCCCUGCAAUGCCCGCAACGCCGUCAUCUUCCUCCUCCGGCCGCCAGACCUCUCUCGUCGAUUUGUCGCCCCCAGGCCUUCCCCGAGCCGUCUGAGCUCUGCUCUGCACUCCCUGUGAGCCUGCGGUCGUUUUCCCUAAGUUUUCCCCGUCGAUCCCCUCCUCUAGCCCUAGUUUCACCGGAGCCUGACGAGGACCGCCACUGCCGCUCGUCGCCGGUAGCCCUCCGAUGUCCAGCUCGUCCUUCCGAUGGCACCAACAGCUCCAGGACGACGCGUAGAUGCUGUAGCAGCUAAGAACCGAGCGUAGAUCCCCUUGUUGCAAAGACCCCGAUGACGCCCGAGCCUUGGCUGCCGCCAAGCUCGUCGCCGACGUCAUCUCCGGCCAGAUCAGCCUCGGCUAGGCGCAGAAAUGAAGCUGCGGGAGACGUGUCGUUCCUCUGGUGCUCUCCGCGCAGCAUUUGGCCCCCUGUGCGCCGUUUCCGAGCCCCUCCGUCGUGCUGGUGGUCGCCGGAGGCUCCCCGCCGGCGAGGUCGACCUCGCCGCCGGUGGAGGUCGACGUGGCAAGCUAACCCAGCCGAUUAGUGACUUAAUCACUCGCUGACAAGUGGGCCCAAGGCCAAGUCAAACCUCAGUUAGGGCUGGUCAGCGCGGGAUUAGUCCCAGAAAGGCUGACCAGUGGGGCCCCCCUAUCAGGUUUGACCUGAACAGGUCGGCUGACCUACUGACGUCAGCCUGAUGCAAUAAAUGGAAUUUCCAGUUUAAAACUAAUUCAGGAAAUUGCUAAAAAUUGCAAAAAUCAUAGAAAUUAAUCUGUAACUCCAAUGAAAAUAAAUUAUAUAUGAAAAAGUAUCAGAAAAAUUCAAGGAUUCUGAUUAUGCUAUUUUCAACUAUGUUUGAAAAAGUUACAGGACCCUAAAUUGUGAAAUAAGGAACAAUUCAAUUCUUUAAUCACUUUAUAAAUGGAAUUUGCAAAAAUAUCCAAAUUUCAUUAUAAAUACAAUGAUCACACACUGCCCUAGAUAUAAAUCAGUACCAUAACAUGACAUUUCAUGCAUGUUAACAUUAGGUUGAUCUGAGCAUCAGGUCGAAUCAAUUAAACCGGUAUCCGAGAAUACCCGUUUGAAUUGCUAUUCGAAUGUGAUUCAAAUCAACUCUAAACCUAAAAUAUCUUGAUUAUAAUAACUUAUCACUUGCAUUCUCAUGCCAUGCUCAUGCAUCAUUUUGAUUGCAUAUGAUUGUUAUUGAAUGUUGCCAUUCAUUUCGGUAGGCUCCGCACCCCCGGAUUCCACCGAAUAUCCGUCUAACGGAUAUCGUUCCUCCUCUGAGCAACAAGGCAAGCAACCAUUUUGAUCAUCAUGAUAACUCCUAUGUUCUUGCUCCUGCACCUAUUUAUUGCAUUAGGAUCAAAUGCUUCAACUGCUUUUGCCACGAUAGUUGGACCCACUUCCUUUGCAUGACUUAACCUUGUCACAGUAAAUAGCCGAACCUUGCAACCUAGCAUACCUGGUAGUUGCUUAAGCUAUGAUGUGCCUUAUCCUGCUAUGCAUGCUAUGCUUAGAGUUGUGUAUGGUCUGUCAUCUGGGAGAUGAACAGAAAUGUGGAAUGUGUUCGAUGAGCAAAGGUCGUGUGUUGAACUUGAUUUGGUAAAGGUACCGGUGAAAGGCUGUGUAGGAGUACAUGGCGGGUUGUUUCAUUGGAACCGUCCUUAGGAACUGAGUUCCGUGUAUGUAAUCCAAGACUAGAUACUACCACAUGCUGGGCCCUUAAAUAUGACCCCGCUCGGCCUAUUAAUCGCGUAGUACUCGGUCCAGGAGUUGCAAGUAGUUUCUGGUGUUUAUAGUAUUGCUGGAGGCUGUGCAUGGUGCUGACCUGAGAGGUGGACCGUGAUGCGGUAGGCAGUGGCACGGUGUACCAAGUGGCACCCGGAUGGUGGGCUUGGGAACCCUACGCACAUCGUUUGAGGCCGUGGCGGAAACCUCGGCCGGACUUCCGUACGGGUUACUCUCAGAUAGGCGAUAAACCUGGACUAGGUACUAGUGUGGUUAACGGUCGUGGCCGACUCCCUCGCUGGGCUUCCGCUUGAAGGUUGCCGAGGUGCAUGACGUGCACAUGCCGAUAAGUGGCGGGAGCGUGUGUGACGAAGUACACCCCUGCAGGGUUAUGAUCUAUUCGAAUAGCCGCGUCCGCGGAUAUGGACUACUUGGAGACAUAUGUUGUUCAUAGAUAACUUCAAUGGCUACUCAUAAAAUUGUCAAGAUAAGCGUGAGUGUCGUGGACGACAUUUCCGUAUGGAGACAGAAUGAUUCCACGAUAGUGUAUUGUUGUGGUGUUAGUGGACUCGUGUGCGAGAAAUCAAGUUGUCAAAACUAAUUUCAAAAAGCAAGUUGUCUAGCCACGAGUCAAAUGCUGGCUUCCCGCAUGAAACCCCACAAUACCUUUUGAUACCUUGCAUGAGUAGUUAGUUCUCCUAAAGUCUUGCUGAGUACCUUCGUACUCAUGUUUGUUUAAUAAAUGUUGCAGAGGUUGCUAAUGACCCUAAUGGAGGGUUCUUCGUAGACAUCGACGACGACGAGUAGCUGGUGUCCCAGCUACGAUCUGGCCCUACAUCGGCUCUGUAGUAUAGUCAGGCCACAUGCCUACUAGUUGCCCUGUCUAUACUCAGACAGUUUAUAACUCUUCCGCUGGCUUGUAUUGUAUGACUGCUAUUAUGGGUCGUGAGACCCUUAAUGUGUAAUAUUAUGUGUGUGGCUCUUCCGAGCCUCUUAAAUAAAGCUUGUAUGGUUAUGGUUAUGUUGUGAUGCCAUCGAUGUAUCUAUACAUAUCGGUAUGCCAUGCGUACGUGUGUCUUACUUGAUAUGUAUGGGGUUCGAAUACCUAGUCGUGAACUUUAGUAGCACUCCUUACAAGGAAAUGCCCCUUUGUGAUCCAACGAGCCUUGGUAGUUCGCUACUCCUCCGGACACAUUGAUUGACCGGCAUGUGUCCUUCUUAGCUGCUGUGUCUGUCCCCUUUGGGGAAAUGUCACGCGACGUAAUGGAGUCCUUGUAGCUUGCUACAACUCGUCUACGUUCGUUGAUGACCGACACCUGCUUUGUUGGGUCAUGUAUGCUUGUCCUUGUGCGGAACUGCCACUUUGGUUUAUGACUAGACAUGUCGAUCCGGGUUCUUUGACAUUGGAUUGCUAGCGACACUAUCGCAUACGUGAGUCAAAAGACGCAAACGGUCCCGGCUAAGGUAAGGCUGCAGCCGUGGAGUUAACCGUGCGUGAGACCACAAAGGGAUGCGAUGUGUUACAGGCUAGAUUCCUAUGGCUUAGGAUCGGGGUCCCGACAUAGGGAUUGAUGACCUUCUCGAAGAUCUUGUCCUUAGGAGCGUUUGGGGAAGUCAUGAUGAUCUAGAUCUACGGCAAAAACAAGGUCGAAAUGAAAACAGAGGAAAACUGCGCGAUACGGAGAUCAAAACCUUCAGGCGACUACAUAUUGAUUUUUUCUGGGCCAGAAGGAGUCCUCCACAAGAAAACGGAGUCCGAAAGGCACAAGAGGUGCCACAAGCUUGCCCUCCGCCACGAGGGGGGUAGGGGGCGGUGGCAGGGCUUGUGUCUGCCUCGUUCGCUCUCCAGACUGCUUUUUAUUUCUCUUAUUUUCCAAAAAUUCCAAAACAGAAGAAAUUUCCUAUUGGAAAAGUAUCAUAGUCCAAUUUCAUACCGAAACAGAUACAUCUUCGUUUUCAAGGUCUGAAACAGGCUGAUAAACAUCCCUUAUGUAGUCCUGUGGAGUUAUGACAUUGAUGAUAUUGGUCUCAACAUUUAUGGGAGUACCAGAGACGUAAUGCUUGAUUCUUUGCCCAUUUACCACUCUAGGAAAAUUUCCUUCCGUGUUAUUGAUUUUGAUGGCACCGGAACGAUAUACUUCCUCGAUAACAUAGGGACCUUCCCAUUUAUAGAGAAGCUUGCCUGCAAAGAAUCUCAAACGAGAAUUGUAUAGCAAGACAUAAUCACCUACAUUGAACUCUCGUUUCUGUAUUCGUUUGUCGUGCCAUCUCUUAACCUUUUCCUUGAACAACCUAGCAUUCUCGUAUGCCUGGGCUCUCCAUUCAUCUAACGAGCUGAUAUCAAACAACCGCUUCUCACCGACAAGUUUGAAAUCAAAGUUGAGCUCUUUGAUUGCCCAAUAAGCUUUGUGUUCCAGCUCAAGAGGUAAAUGACAGGCCUUACCGUAAACCAUUUUAUACGGUGACAUGCCCAUGGGAUUCUUAUAAGCAGUCCUAUAAGCCCAUAGUGCAUCGUCAAGUUUGCUAGACCAGUUCUUUCGAGAUCUAUUGACGGUCUUUUGUAGAAUCAACUUGAUAUCCCUAUUACUCAACUCCACUUGACCACUAGACUGAGGAUGAUAAGGAGAUGCAACUCUAUGGUUGACAUCAUACUUAGCUAGCAUCUUGCGGAGAACACCAUGAAUGAAGUGUGAACCGCCAUCAGUCAUCAAGUAUCUAGGGACUCCAAAUCUUGGGAAUAUGACUUCUUUAAGCAUCUUAAUAGAGGUGUGGUGAUCAGCAUUUUUAGUGGGGAUAGCUUCUACCCACUUAGUAACGUAAUCCACAGCAACUAAGAUGUGAGUGUACCCAUUGGAACUCGGGAAGGGUCCCAUAUAAUCAAAGCCCCAGACAUCAAAUGGUUCAAUGACAAGUGAAUAGUUCAUAGGCAUUUCCUGACGCUUACUGAUGUUCCCUAUUCUUUGGCAUUCGUCACAAGACAAGAAAAACUUACAGCAUCCUUGAAGAGAGUGGGCCAAUAGAAACCUGAUUGCAAUACCUUAUGGGCAGUUCUAUCUCUAGCAUGGUGUCCUCCAUAGGCUUCGGAAUGACACUUCUGCAGGAUCUGUCCCUGUUCAUGUUCAGGCACACAACGUCUAAUAACACCAUCUACUCCUUCCUUAUAAAGGUGAGGAUCAUCCCAAAAGUAGUGUCUCAAAUCAAAGAAGAAUUUCUUCUUUUGCUGAUAGGUGAAACUGGGUGGUAUGUAUUUGGCUACAAUAUAGUUUGCAUAAUCGGCAUACCACGGUGCACUAAGUGAAGUGCGGAUGACAUUUAAUUGCUCAUCAGGAAAGCUGUCAUCAAUAGGUAGUGGGUCAUCAAGGACAUUCUCUAGCCUAGGCAAGUUAUCUGCUACAGGGUUAUCAGCACCCUUUCGGUCAACGACGUGCAAAUCAAAUUCCUGUAGUAGGAGAACCCAUCUGAUCAGCCUAGGCUUAGCGUCCUUCUUAUCCAUGAGGUACUUAAUAGCAGCAUGAUCAGAGUGAAUAGUGACUUUGGAGUCAACUAUGUAAGAUCUGAACUUUUCACAUGCAAACACGACUGCUAAAAAUUCCUUUUCCGUAGUGGCAUAGUUUCUUUGGGCACUGCCUAGAGUUUUACUAGCGUAGUGAAUGACAUUCAACUUCUUGUCAACUCUUUGUCCUGGAACAGCACCAACAACAUAAUCACUAGCGUCGCACAUGAUUUCAAAGGGCAAGUUCCAGUCAGGUGGUUGAACAAUAGGUGCGGUUAUCGAAGCCUUCUUAAGUAUUUCAAAGGCUUCCUCACAAUCCUCAUCAAAAACAAAAGGAACAUCCUUCUGCAAGAGGUUGGUAAGAGGCCUAGAAAUCUUAGAGAAGUCUUUAAUGAACCUUCUAUAGAAACCAGCAUGACCUAGGAAACUUCGUAUACCUCUGAUAUCUGUGGGGCAAGGCAUUUUCGCAAUUGCAUCAACCUUAGCCUUAUCAACUUCAAUGCCUCUUUCAGAGAUUUUGUGUCCUAAGAUGAUACCUUCAUUAACCAUAAAUUGGCACUUCUCCCAAUUCAAGACGAGGUUGGUUUCUUCGCAUCUGUGGAAGACUCGAUCAAGGUUGCUGAGGCAAUCAUCAAAGGAAGACCCAUAAACGGAGAAGUCAUCCAUGAAAACCUCGACGAUCUUUUCACAAAAGUCGGAGAAUAUAGCCAUCAUACAUCUUUGGAAGGUGGCAGGUGCAUUACAUAAGCCAAAAGGCAUACGUCUAUAGGCAAAGGUACCGAAAGGGCAGGUGAAAGUGGUUUUCUCUUGAUCAGAUUGUGCAAUAGGUAUUUGCGAGAAACCUGAAUAACCGUCUAGAAAGCAGAAGUGUGUGUGUUUUGAUAGCCUUUCUAGCAUUUGGUCGAUGAACGACAAAGGAUAAUGAUCUUUCCUGGUUGCCUUGUUCAAUUUCCGGAAGUCUAUCACCAUUCUAUAGCCGGUAAUAAUCCUUUGUGGGAUUAGUUAAUCCUUAUCAUUAGGAACGAUGGUGAUACCUCCCUUCUUAGGUACGCAACGUACUGGACUUACCCAAUCACUAUGAGCAACAGGAUAAAUGAUUCCUGCUUCCACAAGCUUUAAUAUUUCUUUUCUAAUGACCUCUUUCAUCUUAGGAUUUAAUCUCCUUUGAUGACCAGCAACAAGUUUAAAGUCAGGAUUGGUUUUAAUCUUGUGCUGACAUAGACUAGGACUAAUACCCUUAAGAUCAUCAAGAGUAUAUCCAAUAGCAGCGUGGUGCUUCCUCAGAGUUUUUAGUAACUUCUUCUCUCCGCGCUCUGAGAGGAGAGCACUAAUAAUGACAGGAUAUAUCUCCUUCUGAUCAAGAUAGGCAUACUUAAGAGUACCAGGCAACUGUUUAAGCUCGAACACAGGAUCACCCUUUGGUGGGGGAGGAUCCCCAAGUAGUUCAACAUGUAGGUUUUUCUUGAGAAUAGGAUAUUGUUCUAAGACAAUUUUAUCUAUCUCAUCUCUCUCCUCCAUAUGCAUAUCGUUUUCAUGCUCAAGCAGAUAUUGCUCUAAGGGAUCCGUAGGAGGUACGGCAAUAGAGGCAAGAGCAAUGAUUUCAUCUAUACCAGACGAUUCUCUUUCAUGGGUUUGUCUUCCAAACUUGGAGAAGUUAAAUUCAUGAUACACACCCUCGAAACUUACUGUGACAGUCUGCUUAAUGCAAUCAAUGUGAGCAUUGACAGUGUUGAGAAAGGGUCUAACAAAUAUGAUGGGAUAAAAGUUAUCUUGUGCAGUACCAAGGACGAGGAAAUCAGUAGGAUACUUCGUCUUACCACACAGGACUUCUACGCCUCUCACGAUUCCCAGAGGGCACAUAGUGUCUCUAUUUGGUAGCGUAAUAGUGACAUCAAUGGGUUCUAACUCAGCAGGUGAAAUCUCAUCUUUGAUUUCAUAUAUAGAGAACGGGGCAUUGCACUAACACAAGCUCCCAUAUCACAUAAACCACGGUAACAGUGAUCUCCUAUGUUAACAGAAACAACGGGCAGGCCAACUACAGGUCCGUGUUUGUCUUUCGCGUGAGGUUUAACAAUUCUAGCGGAGUCCUCACAGAAUUUGAUAACAUGCCCAUCUAUGUCUUUGGCUAAGAGACCUUUGAUAAUAGCAACACUAGGUUCAAAUCUCAUCUCCUCAGGGGGUGCAGGUGAUCUAAUGUAACCCCUACGUAUCACAGUUGGAGCUUUAGCAUAAUCCUUUAUCCUAGCAGGGUAUGGUGGUUUCUCAGUGUAAGCACAAGGAACAACAGGAUCACUAAAAGCAAUGACUUUCUCCUCAACUAGAUUGGUUUUGGCUAUGUUGCUUUCUACAGGAGGAUGAUAUUUAAACCACUUAUAUUUGGAAGAUCAACAUGAGCAGCAAAAGAUUCACAUAGAGAAGCUACUAUCUCAGAGUCAAGUCCAUACUUAGCGCUAAAAUCUCUAGAAGUGUUUGUCUCAACAAAAGAUUUAACGCAAUCAAACUGGAAAUUCAUACCUGACUCCUUACCUUCCUCCAGCUCCCGAUAUUCAUAGUUGCGUUUGAUUCUCUCCAAUAAAUUCCACUUGUGAUCAAUAUCCUUCUUCAUAAAAGAACCGGCACAAGAAGUGUCAAGCAUGGUACGAUCUUCAUGAGAAAGCCGAGCAUAAAAGUUUUGAGUGAUGAUUUCUCUCGAGAGCUCAUGAUUGGGGCAUGAAUAUAGCAUUGAUUUAAGACUCCCCCAAGCUUGAGCUAUGCUUUCCCUGUCACGAGGCCAAAAGUUAUAAAGAAAGUUCCGAUCACGAUGUACUAAAUGCAUAGGAUAGAACUUUUGAUGAAAUUCCAAUUUCAACCGAUUGUAGCCCCAUGAUCCAGUAUCAUCACAUAGCCUAUACCAUGUCAAUGCCUUAUCCUUCAAAGAUAAAGGAAAUACUUUCUUCUUUACCUCAUCCUCGGGAAAACGUGCAAGCUUAAAUAAACCACAAACUUCAUCUACAUAGAUUAGAUGCAAGUCUGGAUGUGAAGAUCCAUCUCCUGUGAAAGGAUUAGCCAGCAGUUUCUCAAGCAUACCCGAAGGAAUUUCAUAAAAUAUAUUUUCUGUAGGUACCUCAGGUUGAGGAGAAACUCCUCGUGCUUCCGUUCGUGGUGAAGAUACCCCGAAAAAACUCCUCAAAGAAACAGUUUCCAUAGUGACAAGUGACAAUAAAUGUCAGCACAGUAUAAAAAUGUUUCCUUACCAAUUUCCACUUACCAAAGGCGCUUCACUCCCCGGCAACGGCGCCAGAAAAGAGUCUUGAUGACCCACAAGUAUAGGGGAUCAAUCGUAGUCCUUUCGAUAAGUAAGAGUGUCGAACCCAACGAGGAGCAGAAGUCUCUGAUAAACGGAUUUCAGCAAGGUAAUAACUGCAAGCACUGAAAGUAGCGGUAACAAGUGAUUGUGUAGCGAGGUGAAACGUAGAAAGCAAAGAGUAAAAAGUAACAAGUAGUAGCAAUGGUGCAGCAAGUGGCCCAAUCCCUUUUGUAGCAAGGGACAAGCCUGAACAAAGUCUUAUAGGAGGAAAAACGCUCCCGAGGACACACGGGAAUUUCUGUCAUGCUAGUUUCAUCAUGUUCAUAUGAUUCGCAUUCGUUACUUUGAUAGUUUGAUAUGUGGGUGGACCGGCGCUUGGGUACUGCCCUUAAUUGGACAAGCAUCCCACUUAUGAUGAACCUCUCUCGCAAGCAUCCGCAACUACAAAAGAAGAAUUAAGACAAAGUCUAACCAUAGCAUUAAACUAGUGGAUCCAAAUCAGCCCCUCACGAAGCAACACAUAGACUGGGGUUUAAGCUUCUGUCACUCCAGCAACCCAUCAUCUACUUACUACUCCCCAAUGCCUUCCUCUAGGACCAAAUAUGGUGAUGUUUUAUGUAGUCGACGUUCAGAUAACACCAAUAGAGGAAAAACAACAUACAACAUAUCAAAAUACCGAACGAAUAUCAAAUUCACAUGACUAUUAUCAGCAUGACUUAUCCCAUGUCCUCAGGAACAAAGGUAACUACUCACUAAGCAUAAUCAUAAUCAUGAUCAGAGGUGUAAUAAAUAGCAUCAAGGAUCUGAACAUAAACUCUUCCACCAAGUAAUCCAACUAGCAUCAACUACAAAGAGUAAUCAACACUACUAGCAACCUUACAAGUACUAAUCGGAGUUGCGAGACGAGAUUGGUCACCAGAGAUGAACUAGGGUUUGGAGAGGAGAUGGUGCUGAUGAAGAUGUUGAUGAAGAUGCCUCCCCUCCAACGAGAGGAGUGUUGGUGAUGAGUAUGGCGACGAUUCCCCCCCCCCUCCGGGAGGGAAGUUUCCCCGGCAGGAUCGUCCUGCCGGAGCUCUAGAUUGGAUCUGCUCAAGUUCCGCCUCGUGGCGGCGGCGAAACCACGAAAGUCUCCCUCCUGAUUUUUUCUGGACCAGGACGCUUCAUAUAGCAAAAGAGGGGGGCUAGUGGGCCGUUAGGGAGCCCACAAGCCCCCACUCCGCCACUAGGGGGUGGCGGUGUCACGGCUUGUGGCGCCCUGGCAGCCCCCCUCCGGUAGUUCUUUCGCCCAGUAUUUUUUAUAUAAUCCAGAAAAAAUCCACGUAACUUUUCAGGGCAUUUGGAGAUGUGCAGAAUAGUGGACUAGGAUUUGCUCCUUUUCCAGUCCAGAAUUCUAGCUGCCUAAAUUCUCCCUCUUCAAAUAAACCUUGCAAAAUAAGAGAGAAAAGGCAUAAAUAUGGUACCACAAGUAAUAUGACAGCCCAAAAAGCAAUAAAUAUCAACAUGAAAGCAUGAUGCAAAAUGGACGUAUCAAUGACCAAGAGUUCUCAAUAUCUUCCAUGCUACUCAUGCUAUAGGCGGUUCCCAAACAAAAAAGUAAAGUUUUAACUCCCCCACCACCAAUCAAUCACACUCCACGGCUAGCCUAAUCCUCGGGUACCGUCCAUACUAACAUCAGUAUGGGGGGAGUCUUGUUUUAGAGUUAUGUUUUCGAUUUAAGCGUGGAACUAGGCAUUCCAAUUAUUGGCCCCUUUCUCGUGAAUGACAGUGAAUAAACACAUGUCGAGGAUAGCACUCCUAGCAUGGAACAUAACAACAGCCCCCUGUCACCACAUGAGCGGUUCGGGCAUGCAAAACAGAUUAUUUCUUGAAGAUUUAGAGAGUGGCACAUGCAAAUUUACUUGGAAUGGCAGGUAGAUACCGUAAAUAGGUAGGUAUGGUGGACUCUCAUGGAAAAUUGUUGGGUUUAUGGAAAUGGAUGCACAAGUAGUAUUCCGCUUAGUACAAGUGAAGGCUAGCAAAAGACUGGGAAGCGACCAACUAGAGAGCGACAACAGUCAUCAAGAUGCAAUGAGUUUGACUAACAUUGACUGAAAGCAUGAACAUGAUAUAAAUCACCAUGAAUACGAACAUCAUAGAGGCUAUGUUAAUUUUGUUUCAACUACAUGCAUGAACAUGCGCCAAGUCAAGUCACUUGAAACAUUCAAAGGAGAAUACCAUCCUAUCAUACUACAUCAUAGUCAUUUCAAAAUCUAUGUUGGCAUUCUAGACAAACCAUUAUAAACUCUCAGCUAAAUAAGCAUGGCAUCAGAAACUAUGAUCUCUAAGUUGUCAUUGCAAACAUGGUUCUCUCACAACAAAGCUGAAUCUAGGUUGACAAGCUAGUCAUAUUUACAAAAACAAAAUAGAUAGAGUUCAUACCAGCUUUGCAGUCUGAGUCACUUCAUCAUAUAUCCUCAUUAUUGCCUUUCACUUGCACAAUCGAACGAUGUGAACAAUAAUAAGAGUGCUCGUGCAUUGGACUAAGCUGAAUCUGCAGGCAGACACAAAGGAGAAGACAAAGUAAUAUGGCUCUUUGAAAGCUAAACAGGUAAGCAUGCAAGAACCACUAAACAUUAGAACCAAUAUCUUCUACCUUGAUCCAAAGAAAAAGAAGACUAUUUACACGGGAAAGCUCCCAACAAGCAAAAGAAGAAAGAAAAAUCUUUUUGGGUUUUCUCAAAAGGAAAUAAAACAAGAAAACAAGAAAACGAAAAUAAACUAGCAUGGAUAAUAAAGUGGCAAAGUGUAAACACCGGCUAACAAAGUGAAAGCAUAAGCAUGAAUGUAAAGUCGGUGAGAACACGUACUCCCCCAAGCUUAGGCUUUUGGCCUAGUUUGGUCUACUCCCAUGGUGGCAAAUCACCAGCUCCAGGAUACUCCAAGAAAAUUUGCUAAGCGUGUAGCAUAAACUCCACCAAAGAAAUCCCCCUGACUGGCAUUUUUAUUUAGCCUCCUUGCUAUUAUAGCUCCCAUAUUGAAGCUCCUGUCACCUGUGACUGCGCUCUUAAGGAUACUAAGGUCAGAAGCGCAUAGGUGACAAUGUGCACCCUUGCCGUUAAUGCACCUACCUAUGAAGAGGGCAAAGUAGUGCAAGGCAGGGAAAUGGAUGCUUCCUAUGGUGGCUUGCGUGAUAUCUCUGGUUUCUCCAACAGUUAUACUGGAGACAAAGUCUGUGACCAAAGACUUAGAAGGAUCAUUAAUACUACCCCCAUCGGGUAUCUUGCAAAUCCUAUUGAAAUCCUCCAAAUCCACGGUAUAGGAUUUAUCAUACAAAUCAAACAGUAUGGAUGAGUCAUGGCCAACUGAAAAUUUAAAUCUUCGCACGAAAGAGGCAGUGGGCAUAGCAUAUUGUUCACAUUUAUCUGAGAGAAACUCUUCUAACCCGACAUUGCGGACAAGUGUAUCAAACUCAUCCUUGAAACCAGCUUCGAUCAUGAACUCAUCGGAAGGCCAUUCACAUGGUUGUACCGGUGCGUCCCUUAGUUGAAAAGGUUCGGGCUCCCGAAAGGAAACACGAGGACCCUUCUUACUUGAGGAACCACCAUGAAACUUCCUCCUGAACAUAAUUUCCUUUUGCUGAAAUUUUUGAAGUUCAAGAGAAAAGUGAAUGAAGACCCACCACACCUUGUAGCAACUACUCCUACUAAUGCCUAGAGACCAUAUCACGCGCUAAAACUACUUGGGACCAGCUAAAAUCAACAUUUCUAGCUCAAGAACAGGGUCACCAAGGUAGCAAGAAUACGCGAAGGCUAAAGUAGUAGAGCAAAAACUAAUUGGACCAAUGGAGAAGUCACUUACCAAGGAGUAAUUUCCCAAAAACGGUUCAGAGAAUGGUGCUCUGAGCAAGGAGAUCGAAAAUCACAACCAAAUGAGCAAGAACACGGGUUUGAGCUGCGAAACAAUUUUUUCUGGAGGUGGAAGAAGAGGCUGGGAGCUGGAAUCAGUGGAGGGGGUCCCUGUGGGCCCCACAAGCUUGCACUCCGCCACCAGGGGGGUGGCGGUGGUAGGGCUUGUGGCUCACUGGUCUGGCCCCCAGGCCAGCUCUCAGGUCCAGUAAUUUUCAAAAAUUCCAGAAAAAAUCAUACUAAAUUUUCAGGACCAUCAGAGAACUUUUAUUUUCGAGGUAUUUUUCUCCGGGACGCUAAAACAGAGGUAUGUGACUCUUUGAUUCAUCCAUCUCAUAGUCAUCGAAAGAAAUCCAUCAAUGGGGUUGAUCAAAUCCUCAUGACAAAACCUUCUUGAAUCGCAAGAGAGAACGGGGAAUUUUCAAAUAGCCACUAAUCACCUCAAUGGGGAUAUGUAUCUCCCCAACAAGCAAAUCAUACUUCAUCUUGACAUGAGGAAUAGGGCAUUCAAAGCUCCCAAUAAAAAUCGAUGAAGUCUUUUUGAUAGCAUUGAUGCAAUGUACUUGAUAUCAUUUCUUCGGAAAGUGCACUGUGUGCUCAUUACCGUUGACAUGGAAAGUGACAUUGCCGUUGUUGCAAUCUAUAACAGCCCCUGCAGAGUUUAAAAAGGGUCUUCCGAGGAUGACAGCCAUGGCAUCUUCCUCGGGAAUAUCCAAGAUAACAAAGUCUGUUAAGAUAGUGGUAUUAGCAACCACAACAGUCACAUCCUCGCAAAUGCCGGUAGGGAAAGCAGUUGAUUUUUCGGCCAUUUGCAGAGAAAUUUCAGUGGGUGUCAACUUAUCCAAUUCAAGUCUACGAUAAAGAGAGAGCGACAUGACACUAACACCGGCUCCAAGGUCAUAUAAAGCAGUUCUUACGUAGUUUCCUUUAAUGGAGCAAGGUAUAGUGGGCACUCCGGGAUCACCAAGUUUCUUAGGGGUUCCACCUUUGAAAGUGUAAUUGGCAAGCAUGGUGGAGAUCUCAAGAUCUAGUAUCUUCCGAUUAUUAGUCACGAUAUCUUUCAUGUACUUGGCAUACGGAGACAUCUUGAGCAUAUCAGUUAACCGCAUCUGCAGAAAGAUGGGUCUUAUCAUCUCAACGAAACGCUCAAAAUCCUCAUCAUCCUUUUUCAUGGAUGACUUAGGAGGAAAGGGCAUAGAUCUCUGAACCCAUGGUUCCCUUUCUUUACCAUGCUUCCUAGCAGUAAAGUCAUUCUUCUCGUAUCUCUUAGGUUGUGGGUUAACAGGAUUAACCGAAGUUUCAAUCUCCACAUCCUCAUCAUUGCUAGGUUGAGCAUUAUUAUGAACAUCACUCUCCAUAUUGUCACCAGGUUCAUGUUCAUCACCAGAUUGUGUUUCUGCAUCAGACGCAGAAAUAUCAUUAGGUUCUUCGGGUGUGACAGUAUUUGGUGAACUGGCAUGUUGAUUUCUAUCAUCCUUCUUCUUCUCCUUAGGAUGACUGGGUGUAUCAGCAUUGAUUCCUUGAGAAUCUUGAUCAAUUCUCUUAGGAUGACCUUCAGGAUACAAAGGUUCCUGAAUCAUUUUGCCUCCUCUAGUAAUGACUCUAACAGAGUUGUCAUUUAAUUCAUUGAGCAGGUCAUUCUAAGCUUUAAGUACUUGUUCUACCUGAAUAGUAAUCAUAGAGGCAUGUUUACUAAGAAGCUUCAAAUCAUUGACAUUUCUGUCUACACAAGCACUUAAAUGGCUAAGCAUACGAGUACUUUGUUCCAAGUUUCUGCUAACAUAAUCAUUGAAACUCUAUUGUUUGGCAAGAAAGUUGUCAAAUUCAUCAAAGCAUAGGCUAGCAGUUUUGUCAAAAGGAAUAUCACUCUCAUCAAACCUGCGCAGACAAUUCACUUCUACUAAUUGUAUCGGGUUAUCGAGACCAUGGAUCUUUUCGAUAGGUGGUAGAUUUUUGACAUCUUGAGAUCUAAUAUCUUUCUCUUGCAUAGAUUUCUUGGCUUCUUGCAUAUCUUCGGGACUGAGGAAUAGAAUACCUCUUUUCUUAGAAGUUGGCUUAGGAGGUGGUUCGGGAAUAGUCCAAGCAUUAUCGUUGAUCAUGAUGUUAUUCAGUAGGGUCUCAGCUUGUUCUACAGUUUGUUCCCUAAAAACACAACCGGCACAACUAUCUAGGUGGUCUCUAGAGGCAUCGGUAAGUCCGUUAUAGAGGAUAUCAAGUAUCUCGUUCUUCUUAAGAGGGUGAUCAGGCAAAGCAUUCUGUAGCUGGAUGAGCCUCCCCCAAGCUUGUGGGAGACUCUCUUCUUGGAGUUGAGCAAAGUUGUAUAUUUCCUGCAAGGCAGCUUGUUUUUUAUGGGCAGGGAAAUAUUUCUCAUAGAAGUAAUAGACCAUAUCCGGGGGACUACUCACACAUCGAGGAGCAAGAGAGGUGAACCAGGCUUUAGCGUCAUCCUUUAGAGAGAAAUGAAACAACUUAAGGAUAUAGUAGUGGCGGAUCUUCUCCUCAUUAGUGAAAAGGGUGGCUAUAUUGUGUAGUUUGGCAAGAUGGGCUACGACCGUCUCAGACUCAUAACCAUGAAAAGGAUCAUAUUCGACUAGAGAGAUUAUCUCAGGAUCCACAAAGAAUUCAUAAUCCUUAUCGAUGAUAAAGAUAGGUGAAGUGGCAAACUUCGAGUCGUAUUUCAUCCUAGCUUUCAGAGAUUUUUCCUUCCACUUGAGAAGUAAUUUCUCAGCGUCAUAGCCAUCCUUACACGCAAGAAAAUCCUGAGCUAUCUCUCCCUCCAUAACGUAACCCUCAGGUAUAUCAGGCAAUUCAUAUUUAGGAGAGCUAGACCUAAGCAAAAGCAGGUUCUAUCUCAAUAGUAUCGGCAGUUUCAGAAACAUCACGAGCAUUUGCAGUAACUCUAGCAAUAUGAGCAUCAAGGAAUACCCCUAGUGGAACAUCAGGAAAAGUAGUAUCUCUAGCAGUAUUGACUCCGUAACAGCAGACCUUCCCUUGCAACGGCACCAGAAAAAUGCUUGAUGUAUGUGCUUCCCUGGCAACAGCAUCAGAAGAAUAUUGUUGACGGCCGACCAGCGCGUGGGAUCGUAGCAGUUUUUGAGGGUAGAGUAUUCAACCCAAAUUUGUUGGUUUGCACGACGGGAGGUGACAGAAUACUCUCAAGUAUUAGCAGCUGAAUAUGUCAGAUUCAACCACAACUGAAAGAUUAGUAUCUGCAAGCAAAGUAGUAGUAGCAAAGUAGCGAGUAAUGGCAGUGGCAAGGAACAACAGUAGUAACAACAGUAGCAAGUAGCAACAGUAGCAAGUGACAGUAGUAGCAACAGUAGCAGCAGAGCAAGACAAGUAACAGCAGUAGCAACAGUAGUAGCAGCAGCAGAGCAAGACAAGUAACAUCAGUAGCAACAGUAGGAACAACAGCAGUAGGACAAACUCGUAGGCAAUGGGUCGGUGAUUUGUUUGGAUGAUAUUCAUCAUGCAAUAGUUAUAACACGGAGAGAUAUGUGGCUAGAUCCCGUUCGUCAAUGUGAUGUAGGCAUGCAUUCCAUGUGUCGUCAUACGUGCUUAGGGAUUUCUCACGAACGACGAAGAGCUUCGUGGAAUUGGAGAGGGAAGAAGGUUGAUGAUGACGAUGGCGACGAUUUCCCCUCUCCGGAGCCGAAGACGGACUCCAGAUCUGCCCUCCAGAUGAAAAACAGGUGGUGGCGGCGGCUCCGUAUCGCAAAAGCGACGAAAACUUCUCUUUUUAUUUUUUCUGGGACGAAAGUGAACUUAUAGACCUGAGGUUGGGGGCGACAGAUCUGUGUGGGUUCCACAAGCCAGCCCACCGCCACCAGGGGGUGGUGGCGGAGCCAGGGCUUGUGGCCCACUGGCCCACCCCCUCAGGUGGAACUUGGCGCAGAUAUUUUUCAUAUUUUCCAAAACUGCUCCCCGUAGAUUUUCAGGAUGUUUGGAGAACUUUGAUUUCUGCACAAAAAUAACACCAAGGCAAUUCUGCUAAAAACAGCGUCAGUCCAGGUUAGUUCCAUUAAAAUCAUGCAAAUUAGAGUCCAAAACAAGGGCAAAAGAGUUUGGAAAAGUAGAUACGAUGGAGNAACAUAAAUGCAGAGCACUUUCAAAGAUCAAGGGCUGACUAAACAUUGUAAUUCAUAGCAACGAAGAUCCAGUCAUAGUCAUACUCAAUAUCAAUCAAAAGCAAAGCAUAAAAAUGAUAGAGGUGCUCUCUAAUUGGUGCUUAUAUAAGAGGAGGAUGACUCGACAGGAAAAUAAAUAGACAGGCCGUUCGCAGAAGGAAGCAUUGAUUUGCACAGGUGCCAGAGCUCAAGCUUUGAAAACAGAGAUAAUAACUUUGGGUGGCAUGCUUUCAUUGUCAACGCAAUGACCAAGAGUUCUCAAUAUCUUCCAUGCUACUCAUGCUAUAGGCGGUUACCAAACAGGAAAGUAAAGUUUUAACUCCCCCACCACCAAUCAAUCACACUCCACGGCUAGCCGAAUCCUCGGGUACCGUUCAUACUAACAUCAAUCCGGGGGGAGUUGAUACGUCUCAAACGUAUCUAUAAUUUUUGAUUGUUUCACGCUGUUAUCUCGUCUUCUUUGGUUGUUUUAUGUACAUUUUAUAUCUUUUUUGGGACUAACUUAUUAAUUCAGUGCCAAGUGCCAGUUCCUGUCUCUUCCUGUGUUUUUGACUCUUUCCAUAUCUGAUUUCGGAACGGAGUCCAAACGGAAUAAAAACCCCGAAAUGAUUUUUUCCCGAACGGAAGAAGACCAGGGGGCCUUUGGGCCAAGCCAGGUGGGCUCCAGGGAGCCCACAAGCUCCCACCAUGCCACUAGGGGGGAGGCGCCGGUGGGCAAGCUUGUGGCCAGCCUGGCCGCCCCCUGACCUAGGUCUUUGGCCUAUAAAUUCCCAAAUAUUCCGCAAAAAAUCAGGGGAGCCUCAAAAAUACUUUUUCGCCGCCGCAAGCUUCCGUUUCCGCGAGAUCUCAUCUGGAGACCCUUCGCGGCGCCCUGUCGGAGGGGACUUUGGAGUUGGAGGGCUUCUUCAUCAUCAUCAUCGCCCCUCCAAUGACUCGUGAGUAGUUCACUUCAGACCUACGGGUCCAUAGUUAGUAGCUAGAUGGCUUCGUCUCUCUCUUGGAUCUUCAAUACAAAGUUCUCCAUGAUCUUCAUGGAGAUCUAUCCGAUGUUAUCUUCUUUGGCGGUGUGUUUGUCGAGAUCCGAUGAAAUGUGAAUUUGUGAUCAGAUUAUCUCUGAUAUAUAUUUGAGUCUUUGCUGAUUUCUUAUAUGCAUGAUUUGAUAUCCUUGUAAGUCUCUCCGAGUCUUGGGUUUUGUUUGGCCAACUAGAUCUAUGAUUCUUGCAAUGGGAGAAGUGCUUGGUUUUGGGUUCUACCAUGUGGUGACCUUUCCCAGUGACAGUAGGGGCAGCAAGGCACACAUCAAGUAGUUNNNNNNNNNNNNNNNNNNNNNNNNNNNNNNNNNNNNNNNNNNNNNNNNNNNNNNNNNNNNNNNNNNNNNNNNNNNNNNNNNNNNNNNNNNNNNNNNNNNNNNNNNNNNNNNNNNNNNNNNNNNNNNNNNNNNNNNNNNNNNNNNNNNNNNNNNNNNNNNNNNNNNNNNNNNNNNNNNNNNNNNNNNNNNNNNNNNNNNNNNNNNGGCACACAUCAAGUAGUUUCCAUCAAGGGUAAAAAGAUGGGGUUUUUAUCAUUGGUUUGAGAUUAUCCCUCUACAUCAUGUCAUCUUGCUUAAGGCGUUACUCUGUUCCUAUGGACUUAAUAGACUAGAUGCAUGCUUGAUAGCGCUCGACGUGUGGAGUAAUAGUAGUAGAUGCAGAAAGUAUCGGUCUACUUGUUUCGGACGUGAUGCCUAUAGAAAUAAUCAUUGCCAUAGAUAUCGUCACGAGUUUGCGUGGUUCUAUCAAUUGCUCGACAAUAAUUUGUUCACCCACCGUCUAAUUGCUUUCAUGAGAGAAGCCACUAGUAAACACUACGGCCCCCGGGUCUAUUCACAUCCAUCGUUUACACCUCCGCUUUUACUUUGCUUUGUUACGUUGUUGCUUUCAGUUCUCACUUGGCAAACAAUCUAUAAGGGAUUGACAACCCCUUCAUAGCGUUGGGUGCAAGCUUUUGUGUUUGUGCAGAAUCUUGAGAUACUCUUCCGCCGGAUUGAUACCUUGGUUCUCAAACUCAGGGAAAUACUUACCGUCGCUGUGCAACAUCACCCUUUCCGCUUUGAGGGAACACCAACGCAAGGCUCCAAGGCCACGGGGGAAAUCCUUUGCAUACUUGCCUAGGAAGUCCCUUAAGGUGUAUCCGCAGCAAAAGGAUCAAGCCAAGUAUUCUCCCAUCGACGUGCCUAUUUCUGGCGCCAUUGGAAGGUCUUUUGUUGCAGUAGCAGAAGUAUUUCUGGCGCCGUUGCCGGGGUUACACAGCAAACAUCUAAAGUAUUUCUGGCGCCGUUGCCGGGGAAGAUAAAACAAGAUCUAUCCAAGUAGGUCUCACAAACUCUUCUCUUGCAUUUACUUUUGUUGCCAGUUGCCUCUCGUUUUCCUCUCCCCCACUUCACAUUUUCCUUUCUCCUUCGCCUUUUUCGCUCGCCCUUUUCUCUCGCUUGCUUUCUGUUCGCUUGUGUGCCAUGUGCUCUCGAUAUGCUUGCAUCUUCACUUGCUGAAAAUCUAGAGAUAUGGAUCCUCAUCCACUUGCUAGUCUCUUUAAGAGACCCACUCGUGUGGAACAAAUUGCUAGUGAGUUGAGGGCAAUUGACUAUUUCUUUGGAGUUUUGCAUAAGAUGCGUGAAUCUGAAAAUUGUGAGGAAGAAUUCAUGAAGUGAUUCACGAGGGUUCCUUGGAUGAAAAGCAUGAUUGCAAUGGUUUCACUAUAAAUUCUAUUUGUGACAAUCAUGCUAAGAAUAUGCAAAACCCUAAGCUUGGGGAUGCUAGUUUUGCUAUGACCACUACUUAUUGCAAUAAUCAUGAUUGGGGUGAUGAUCUUUCUUAUGAUCUUGAAAGUUUGUUCAAACUUCAUGAUGAAUAUGAUAUUUGCAACAAUAUUGAAAGUGGGAUUGGAGAAGUCAUGACUUUAUUUGAUGAUAAUCCCACUAUUUUUGAAGAGCGUCAACUUUGCAUGCAUGUGUAUCAUGAAAAGAAUAUCCUAUGGGAUAGCUAUAUUGUUGAAUUUUAAUAUGAUCCCACAAGUAAUUGCUAUGAGAGAGGAAACUAUUGUGGUAGAAACUCUCAUGUUACCCAAUUACCUCUCGUUAUGUUAAGAUUGCUAUUGUCUCUUUCUUCUUCCUUGCAUUUGGUGACUAUUGGUUGUCUUGCCAAUUUGUUUCCCUAUAAAAUGCCUAUGCAUAGGAAGUAUGUUAGACUUAGAUGUGAUUUUCACAUGCUUUAGGAUGCUCUCGUUAUGCUUCAAUUCUUGUCUUUUGUGAGAACAUCAUUGAAUGCCUAGCUAAGGGCGUUACACAAUAGCGCUUGUUGGGAGGCAGCCCAACGAAUCUAUCAUUUUUCUUUCUGUUUUGUGUUUUCCACACUUUCAUAAUUCUGUUAUGAUUGUGUUUUUUGUGUUUCUUUUUGCCUUUGUGCCAAGCAAAACCGUUAUGAUUAGUCUUGGGGAUGAUCGUUUGGUCAUGCUGGAAAAGACAGAAACUUUCUGCUCACGAAAAGAAUUUUCAUGUUUUUUUCUGUAAGAGAUUUUGAGUUGAUUCUUUUUUCUGCUGAUUUCUACGCAAAUUCUUCAGACUGUCGUAAUUUUUCAGAUUUUUUGAAGUACCAGAGGUAUACGAAAUAUACAGAUUGCUACAGACUGGUCUGCUGUUAACAGAUUCUGUUUUUGUUGUGUUGGUUGCUUAUUUUGAUGAAACUAGGGAUAGUAUCAGGGGGUAUUAGCCAUGGAAGAUUGAAAGUACAGUAACCCAACAUCAGCACAAGUAGAAUUUAAGUUUGCUACAGUAACUAAGGAAGUGGUGGCUUGGUUUCUUGUACUAAUGUUAUCACGAGUUUCUGUUUAAGUUUCGUGUUGUGAAGUUUUCAAGUUUUGGGUGAAGUUCUUAUGGACAAAGAGAUAAAGAGUGGCGAAGCUCAAGCUUGGGGAUGCCCAAGGCACCCCAAGAGAUUCAAGGAUGUCGUAAAAGCCUAAGCUUGGGGAUGCCCCGGGAAGGCAUCCCCUCUCUCGUCUACAAUCCAUCGGUAACGUCACUUGGGGCUAUAUUUUUAUUCACCACAUGUUAUGUAUUUUUGCUUGGAGCGUCUUGUAUCGUAGGAGUCUUUUAUUUUUGUUGUGUCACAAUCAUACUUGCUGCACACCUAGAGAGAGAGACAUGCACACACCGUGAUUUUGUCGAGCUUCACUUAUAUCUUUUGGUAGACAAUUCAGCUCACAUGUGCUUCACUUAUAUCUUUUGAGCUAGACACUUUUCCUCUAUGUGCUUCACUUAUAUCUUUUAGAGCACAUUGGUGCGUGGCUUGGUAGUUGAUCUAUGCUUUGAAAGUAGUCUCAAAGGGGGUAUUUAUCCAAAGGGAUAUGAAAACUUCCACCUUCAUGUGCAUAGAAUAGUUAGAGAAGUUUGAUUCAUCUCAAUUAGUUUUGAGUUGUGGUUAUGGUAAUAUUGAAGUCAUGCUAGUAAGGUGUUGUGGAUCUAGAAAUACUUGUGUUGAAGUUAGUGAUUCCCGUAGCAUGCGCGUAUGGUGAACCGCUAUGUGAUGAAGUCUGAGCAUGAUUAGUAUAUUGAUUGUCAUCCUUUGUGUGGCGGUCGGGAUCGCGCGAUGGUUUAUACCUACCAACCCUUCCCCUAGGAGUAUGCGUUGAAUGCUUUGUUUCGAUUACUAAUAAAACUUUUGCUACAAGUAUAUGAGUUCUUCAUGACUAAUGUUGAGUCCAUGGUUUAGAUGCACUUUCACCUUCCACCAUCACUAUCUUCUUAGUGUCGUGCAACUUUCGCCGGUGCACAAAACCCACCAUUAGCCUCCCUCAAAACAGCCACCAUACCUACCUAUUAUGGCUUUUUCAAAGUCAUUCCGAGAUAUAUUGCCAUGCAACUACCACCAUGACAUGUGCCACCAUGUCUACUUUGCCUUUGCAGGAUCGUAAGAUAGCUAGUAUGAUGUUUUCAUUGAUGUCUAUGCCAUGCUAGAUCAUUGCCACGGUACACUACCGAAGGCAUUCCAUAUAGAGUCAUAGUUGCUCUAAGUUUUGAGUUGAAAGUGUGAUGAUCAUCAUUAAUGGAGCAUUGUCCCAUGUGAGGAAAUAAAAGAGGCCAAAGUAGCCCAUAAAAAAGAGGCCAAAGAACCCACCAAAAUAAAAAAAUGAGAGAAAAAGAGAGAAGGGACAAUGCUACCACUUUUUCCACACUUGUGCAUACUAAAGCACCAUGAUCUUCAUGAUUGAGAGUCUCUCGUUUUGUCACCACCAUAUAGCUAGUGGGAAAUUUUCAUUAUAUAACUUGGCUUCUAUAUUCCAAUGAUAGGUUUCUCAAAAUUGCCUUAGGUCUUCGUGAUCAAGCAAGUUGGAUGCACACCCACUAGUUUUCUUUAAGAGCUUUCGCAUACUCGUAGCUCUAGUGCAUCAUUUAUAUGGCAAUCCCUACUCAUUCACAUUGAUAUCUAUUGAUGAGAAUCUCCACAGCUCAUUGAUAUGCCUAGUUAAUGUGACUAUCUUCUCCUUUUUUGUCUUGCAACCUCCACUACAUUCCACACCAUCUAUAGUGCUAUAACCAUGGCUCACGCUCAUGUAUUGCGUGAGAGUUGAAAAUGUUUGAGAAAGUAAAGGUGUGAAACAAUUACUUGGCCAAUACCGGGGUGGUGCAUGAUUUUAAUUCGUUGUGCAAUGAUGAUAGAGCAUAGCGAGACUAUAUGCUUUUGUAGGGAUAACUUUCUUUUGGCCUUGUUAUUUUGAAAGUUCAUGAUUACCUUGCUAGUUUGCUUGAAUUAUUAUUGUUUCCACAUCAAUAGAAAACUAUUGUUUUGAAUCUAAUGGAUCUGAACAUUCACGUCACAUAAGAGGAAUUACAAAGGACACCUAUGCUAGGUAGCAUGAAAGCAUCAAAAAUUCAUUCUUAUCACUUCCCUACUCGAGGACGAGCAGGAGUUAAGCUUGGGGAUGCUUGAUACGUCUCAAACGUAUCUAUAAUUUUCGAUGGUUUCACGCUGUUAUCUUGUCUUCUUUGGUUGUUUUAUGUACCUUUUAUAUAUUUUUUGGGACUAACUUAUUAAUUCAGUGCCAAGUGCGAGUUCCUGUUUUUUCCGUGUUUUUGACUCUUUUCAGAUCUGAUUUUGGAACGGAGUCCAAACGGAAUAAAAACCCCGAAAUGAUUUUUUCCCGAACGGAAGAAGACAAGGGGUCCUUUGGGCCAAGCCAGGUGGGCUCCAGGGAGCCCACAAGCUCUCACCACGCCACCAGGGGGGAGGCGGCAGUGGGCAAGCUUGUGGCCACCCUGGGUGCCCCCUGACCUAGGUCUUUGGCCUAUAAAUUCCCAAAUAUUUCGCAAAAAAUCAGGGGAGCCUCGAAAAUACUUUUCCGCCGCCGCAAGCUUCCGUUUCCGCGAGAUCUCAUCUGGAGACCCUUCCCGGCACCUUGCCGGAGGGGACUUUGGAGUUGGAGGGCUUCUUCAUCAUCAUCAUCGCCCCUCCAAUGACUCGUGAGUAGUUCAAUUCAGACACUACAAGGAAUAUGCUAAUAAACGACGCUAUAUUUUCGUCGCUACAUCUUCACGGUUUUUAAUUUACGACGAUCUCACGACGAAAAACCAAGCGUCGGAAACGGAGCGUCAGAAAUGAACAACAGCGAUGUUUUGAUCAAAAUCGUCGUAACUUUUACGACGAUUCCUGGAUUGUCGUAACCUUUACGACGAUCCUAAAUCAUCGUUGGCAAUCUAACACAGUCCUACGUGGCAGUCCUACGUGGCAAAAUUACGACGAAAUCAAAACAUCAUGGUUAAAAUCAGCCCAACCCAUUUUAAUUGAUCACAUGGGCUGGUUUAUUUUUUUGGGCUUUCUUUAUUGGGCUUCUUUUUGGGCCUUAGCCUAUUUACAACCACUUCUAAUAUAUUUUUUUCGAAUUUUUUUGUAUCAUUAUAAUUUGAGCCCUGGCCUUUUAGUGUCCAAAUAUAUUUGGUCCAGUUUGAGUUUUGGCCUUUUUUCGUUUUUGAAUUCAACAACUUUUUAUACCAGAACUUGGUUUCAUUUGUAUUUAUUGGGCCUUUUCAACCCAAUUAUUUGUCCAAUAUUAAAUCCAACACUAUUUCAUAUUCAAAUCAAGAAAACUCCAAGUCGAAUUAAAAUCAUCCGUCGUAUAACAUCACAUAAUAAAUCUCCCAGGUUUACAUAACACAAUAACUCAUCUCAUGGAUACAUUUCCUUACACAGGAAUAUAGCAACGACGGACAGAAUAUAGCAAAUACAUGUUCUCCCAGGUUUUGCCUCAGAACAAGUUGUUGAGGAAGGAGCUGUUGAGAAACGAGUUGGAAAGCCUGUCGAAGCACAAGAGAAAGAAAAAAGAAAGCAUUGUUACUGAUAUGAGAACACGCAGAGCAAAUUAUGUGCAUAAGCAUUAUAACAACUUGCAUAGGCAUUGUAACAAACAUCUCCCUACUAAGCACAAGGAUGAAUAAGUUUCAACAUAUUUAACCAGCAAUCAAUUAAAAGCUAACAAUGCUGGAAUCACAUCCGAAUUCACUUUUCAAGGGCGCAACCAAGAACGAAAAACACGAUCCAGCACUCAUUCGGGGUGCGAAACUUGAACCGGGCUAGGAAGUGAACGCUGCUCAGCAAGUUAAAAGCCGAGCUAUUCCGAACGAACACUACAUAUAUGACAAAUAGCUAUCUUGACGCGGUGCCAAGAAACUUGCCAAAAUGAGAGAGCACCAAAAUUUCCUCAUCUAGAGUUACUGCACAACAAGAAACCCCACAUAUGUACUUACGCCCACAACAACCAACAAUGAUUCCCGAAAACAUCGCCCCCCCCCCCCGAAAACAGAGAGCAUCAGGAACUGAAUGUGCGCACUCUGUUUCAUUCACGAGCAUACAUACUUUCAUGACCCAAAGUUAAACGAUACUGGCAAGCAAAUUGCCAGUAGCACUCACCCGCCAUUGCCCGAGGCAGUUCCACAACGUCUCGAAGUCCACCGGCCCUGCAACAUUGUUUGGAGGCAGCAAGAAUAUCAGUAUCUGUUUUUUGCUGCGACAAAACAGGGUACUGUAGAACCGAACAGGUUGCAACGCCAAAAGACAAAACAGGGUAGUACAGAAUCAUGAAGCUGCAGACAAAACAGGGUGCUGUAGAACCGAACAGGUUGCAAUGCCUCGUUAGUAGUUUUUAUUAUAUAUGCUUAUAUCAUGAUUGAAGCUCUGCUGAUGAUUGACGGCGUGCACACAGCAAGACGAACAAGAAAAGUCAGGUGCUAUUGCCAAUUAUUAACAGGGGACAUGUAAACUAGCAGUACUACACAGUACUAAGAAUUAAGGAACCUGUGAGAAAAAAUCAUUCUCAGUAGCUAUUUAAUGCAUCAAUGGUAAGAGCAACUAGCAGGGCUCUGAAGAAAAUAAGGCACCAGUUUUCAUCUGUCAUUUAGAUAGCAUAUGUAGCCAACAAGUAUGCAAUGACGUGACAAAAAAAGUUUCGAUUUAGAAGAACUUUUGACCAGAAUCUGAUCAGGGAGGAAUAAAAACUUGUAAAAUUGUGACAAUGUGGUAGUGCAGUUUUAAAAUCCACAAAAGAACGCAAAGAGCAAUCUUUUAAGAACAAGAAGAUUGCAGUCUAGUUAUUUUGGGUGAUAGGAGUGAGGUAUGUAGUCAAGUUACAUGAUACUACACAACAUAUUUAUCGUUUAUCAGUUAUCGCUGUCAUAGAACAAGUGCAGUCUCUUUGUAAUCCGUUAAAAAACCCCUAAGUUUAUAGGGGGAGAUGCGUUAACACAGAUGCAUGACUCGAUACUUAACCGUUAAAAAGUGUCAGGCUUAUGUACAUAACCCGUCGACCACUACAACUUAGUUAUUAUUCCAAAGUGAGCACCACAUAUUAUUAUAUAAUUACAGGGACUACAGAGGAGGAGCCGGGAUCAUCAGGAUUGGGACCUUAUAACUUGAGAGGAAGUGUACCUUUUGAGGAACAAGCGACACCGGCAGGUUUCAAGUCCUUGCAUGCAGGAAUGACAUUCUGUCAAUGCAUGUAAACUUUAAUUUAUUCUAUUGAGAAAAGAUAAGUACUACUAUGACCAUUUGUUUCAAAUGGUGAUCAUGGUGAAAACCUACUGUCCCAGAUAUAACAGCAGAAUUAAACAUCAUUACCACAAAAUCAGAUUGUUUUCUCAGAAUAAAGCAAAUACACACUAUGAUAUUUAAUGAUGUAGGAAGAUAUACAACAGAAUGCAGCAGCAUUAGGAAGAGGCCAUACAUAGCGCCUGUUCGGACUCCCUCCACGGAGCGGAGUACGCGGAGCUGCAUUUUAGGAACUCUCCUAUUUAACACUGGACGGCCAAUCCGCUCCGGCGCGGAGUCGCGGAGCGGAGGGAGUCCGAACACGUCUAUAGUAGCAGGUGUGCACAAGAUACAUGAAAGCAAUGAAUUCAUAAGGAGCUGAACGUAGCACAGCAUAGGCGAGGAGGCAACAUCCUGAAUCCGGUCCAAGGCGUGGAGAGAGACCCCAAAUUAAGUCCCCAAAUUAAGUACUUUCAUCUUAUCUCAUCACGUUGGUUGGGGUGCUAAUCUGCGAUUCACUUAAUUUUAGAUGGGCCCCGAGUAGUUUGUUCAAAUCAAUUAGUUCAGGCACAACAGGAUUAUGUCCGAGUGCAGGUUUUGAUGCAUUUUCACUACCACUUAAACUGUUGAUGGUGUCAGCCACCAGGGUGGUGUUGUUGACAUCUCUUGAUUUUGUUUUCAAUUACUUAUGUAUCAUCUAUCAGAUCAUUGAAAUACUAACUGUAAAAACUUGAGAUAAAAGUAUUCUACUUGCAGCGGAUUCCAUAUGUGAAUACUACCUCUACUAUCACGAACUAUAAAUACUACUAUACUAUCACGAAUUCCAUAUGUGAAUUUGAUGUGGCAUGAACCAGAACCAGAACCAUAAAUGCAAAAGAAACAAAUUCAUAUGAUGAGAUGAAUGGAUGAUUUCACAAAGAAUAAACCUAGUUUCAGAGUUGGGGAUGAUGAAUUGACAGGGUGAAGCUGAUGCAGACCUACAGUAUCGAGUAGGGGAGCGACCGGUGUCCAACGACGUUGGUAGCCAGGUCGGAGCAAUGGAGGUCGAGCGUCGCAGCAUGCAGAGGUCGAGACGACGGUCGCAGCAUGCAUGAACAAAUCGAGCCACUCCAUGGUGUCCAGGCAGGGGAGGAAGCGACCCUGCCGUCCAUGUCCAUCCAUGGGCGGAGCUACAGCCAUUUUGUGCUACUGCAUGCCCACAUAUUCCAGCCCAACAAGUAGUGAAGUUCCGUUUCAUACCAUGAACUACAACCAUAUGAAGAAGGGUGAUUUUUUCACAUUGCUGAUGCAGAUCAGUGCCAUGAUCCAGAAAGGUACCUGACAGCGGGAAGGUGCCCAUACAUGAUGGCAUGUGACACGGGUGUAAACUCUAGCAUUAAGACACACACAAUCCAUGUGAAUCAGUUCAUGAUCAGGUCAUAAAACUAUAUAUGCUUUAGGAGCAGGAAACUAGGAAAGGCAUGCACAAAUUAUUACCCCGAGCGGUGUCAGGCGUGUCGACAUCCAUCUUCACCACCUCGGCAAGAUACCGGUAGAUUGGCAGCCUGCCGCCGCCGCCCGCGGCGUGUAGCGCGUUCAUGCCCAUGUAGGUGGUGCUGGCCACCGUCUUCCGGAUCCCGUUCCCCUUCACGUCCAACUCCUUUGCAAUCUCUUCAUUUCACACGCAGAAAAGGGGACACUUUCAGUCAGGAAUCGUGAGAAGAACACAGUACACAUAUAGUGCAGUCAGAGUCACAAAAAGGGGACACUUUUAGCUAUGAAUCAAGACCAGAACAUAGUAAGUAUACUAGUAUAUACUAUGCUGCAACCAGAAUAAAAAAGAAAGCGGCCAAUCAAAAUGUAGCACAUACUAUGCUCGUGGUUCUUCACAAGUUGGUCAGAAACCUUUGAUUUAACUGCAACAAGUAUCAAGCCCCAGCAGACUCCAACCUGAAUGACGAGCGAAAUCGACAUCCUGGAGCCGUAAUCCGCGGCCAGAACCGAAUCGAAGCGCACGCGGCGGUGAAACCCUAAGGUCGUGGCCAGAUCUAGCGAGCUGUGAUUAAUCGCCGUCAGGAGGAUGGCAGGGAGGGGGAGGGGGACGGGAGUGGGGAUUCGGUCCUUACUCUUGAUCUCGCUGACAUCGCCGUUGUGGGAGGUUUCGGGGAACCUGGCCUCCGGCGGCCACCGUUCGCGAUCUGCACGGCAAGCGGAGCAGACGAUGAGACUGCCGAUUGGUUUGGGUUGGGGUUGGGUGAGGGUGUUCAUCGGUUACCUUCGCCGUGGAGGAGCUCGUACAUGCGAGGCAGCGGCCAUUCCCGCAUCCCUAUCCUCACCGCUCCCUCUUUCUCUUCGCCGGUGGCUGGGGCGACGGUGGCAGUGGCGGUGGAGGACGGGAGCUUCCGGAGUCGUGGGGGGCUCGCGAGAGGGGAGGGGUCGUGGGUGUGACCGGAUCUUGGCGGGGUGUGAGUUGUACGGGCGCGAGGUCGGGGUGGGUGGCGGAGGAGGGCUCACGGUGAGGGAAGGGGAUGGGAGAGAGGAGGAGGGCGUGGCGGAGGCCAUGGACGGCGGGGAGCUCCCCCGGAGUGAGGUGGCGGUGGCGAUCUGGAAGGAGGGUGUGGCGGCGGCGAUCUGGAAGGGGGAUGUGGUGGCGGUGGCGAUCUGGAAGGAGGAUGUGGCGGCGGCGAUCUGGAAGGGGGAUGUGGCGGCUGCGAUUUGGAAGGGAGGAGGACUGGUGUGAGUGGGAGAGUGGCUAGGGUUCGCUGCCCGUUUGGCCAGGUUUAGGUGAGAGAGUGAGCAGGUGUGGCCCGUUGGAUCAGGAAGUAUCCGAUGGUCUUUGAUGCUUGAUCCACGUGACAUGUCUAUAGACCAAUCAAAACGAAGUAGAGGCUAUGAGUAUUUAAAAUGAGUUUUUUUUAUGAAGGACCUACCAUAUAUUUGUUUUAAAAUUGGACGUAAUCAUUUUUAUAAAAUACUAGGACACAUUUAAUAUGCAACUGAACAAAUGAUUGGGUGUCAAAAGUUUUGAUCCACCUCGCGUGAAAAAGAUAAAUGUUCGUCGAAUCAGCUCGAAGAGGGUCAAUUUUGAACUGAAAUGAAUGAAUGUAUUGAGCUGAAAUUUGGUGUAUGAUGCUAAUUUAGGCAUAUGAAGGCAGUGUAGUUUUUUUAUACCAUUUGGACAUGUUAAAGUGACACUUCCUUCACAAUGUGUUAAUCUAGAUAGAAAAUGGUAAUUGAAACUGGGCUCACAUACAGGAUUGGAUUGAGCUGAAAUUUGGAGGAGGAUGAUAACUCGGGCACAUUAAGGCACUGUAAUAAUUUCAUAAAUUUUGGAUAAACAAAAAGUGUACUUCCUUCACAAUGCUCUCUACUGAACAGAAUAUUAGGAAAAAUAUUGACGGAAACUAGAAGAUUUAAAUGAGCUAAAAUUUGGUGGCGUUAUGUUAUAUGGUAAGUUUUAUUCCGUGGUAAAUUUUCAUCAACUAUAAAGCAAUAUAAAAUGUAGUUGCUUCACAAACUGAAAAUAUUACUAGAAACAAAGAUUGGAUGCUGAGCUCACAUGGAUUGUUACAUGUGGCUGAAAUUUUGUGGAGAGCUAUGGUUUUGGCAUAUAGAAGAUGUGGAAAAAAAUUCAAAUCAUCAGGAUAUUCCUAGCUAGUACUUCCUUCACAAAGUUGUGAGCUGAACACAAACUUUGGAAAUUUGCUGAGAAAGAUUUACUAGGCACAUGAUUACGAAAGUUUUCAUGAGGCAAAGAUUUGGAUAGGAAAGAGUUCCCAACAAUUUUGAGGGCGAUCAAAAAAAUUGAAAUAGCACUUCCUUCACAAAGUGUUAUUCUGAACAGAAUAGGAAAAUGAAUAUUGCUGAAUUUUUUUUUGAACUAUGGAAGGAAGGGUUUUCACAUAUUUGAGUAAUAUAUGGUCCAAAGUAUUUAUGAGAAUUUUUCGAGAAUUUUUGGAAUGACAAAAUAGUAGGUUGCUUCACAAACUAGGCGGGUUUGGCGCGUGACAUAGAAUGGACCCACGAGUGACAUGUCAACAUAGUUAGAACAUGUUACGACAUUUUUACAAUCGUCGUAAAAGUUAUGACGAUCUCAUCCUAUGCGGUUACGACGUUUUGACUCACAUCGUCGUAAUUUAUAUGUAGAUUUGAUCCCCUCAAACGGUUUACGAUGAUCUCGGGUGAAAUCGUCAUAGAUUUAUGACGAAUUCGUCAACGACAUUUUAAAAAACAUCACAUAUGAGCAUAUUUCUUGUAGUGAGACCUACGGCGUAGUUAGUAGCUAGAUGGCUUCUUCUCUCUCUUGGAUCUUCAAUACAAAGUUCUCCAUGAUCUUCAUGGAGAUCUAUCCGAUGUAAUCUUCUUUGGCGGUGUGUUUGUCGAGAUCCAAUGAAUUGUGGAUUUGUGAUCAGAUUAUCUAUGAUAUAUAUUUGAGUCUUUGUUGAUUUCUUAUAUGCAUGAUUUGAUAUCCUUGUAAGUCUCUUCGAGUCUUGGGUUUUGUUUGGCCAACUAGAUCUAUGAUUCUUGCAAUGGGAGAAGUGCUUGGUUUUGGGUUCUACCAUGUGGUGACCUUUCCCAGUGACAGUAGGGGCAGCAAGGCACACAUCAAGUAGUUGCCAUCAAGGGUAAAAAGAUGGGUUUUUAUCAUUGGUUUGAGAUUAUCCCUCUACAUCAUGUCAUCUUACUUAAGGCGUUACUACGUGCAUGCUGGAUAGCGAUCGACGUGUGGAGUAAUAGUAGUAGAUGCAGAAAGUAUCGGUCUACUUGUUUCGGACGUGAUGCCUAUAGAAAUAAUCAUUACCAGAGAUAUCGUCACGACUUUGUGCGGUUCUAUCAAUUGCUCGACAGUAAUUUGUUCACCCACCAUCUAAUUGCUUUCAUGAGAGAAGCCACUAGUAAACACUAUGGCCCCCGGGUCUAUUCACAUCCAUCGUUUACACCUCCGCUUUUACUUUGCUUUGUUACUUUGUUGCCUUCAGUUCUCACUUGGCACACAAUCUAUAAGGGAUUGACAACCCCUUCAUAGCGUUGGGUGCAAGCUUUUAUGUUUGUGCAGGAUCUUGAGAUACUCUUCCGCCGGAUUGAUACCUUGGUUCUCAAACUGAGGGAAAUACUUACCGUCGCUGUGCUACAUCACCCUUUCCGCUUCGAGGGAACACCAGCGCAAGGCUCCAAGGCCACGGUGGAAAUCCUUUGCAUACUUGCCUAGGAAGUCCCUUAAGGCGUAGCCGCAACAGAAGGAUCAAGACAAGUAUUCUCCCGUCGACGUGCCUAUUUCGGGCGCCAUUGGAAGGUCUUUUGUUGCAGUAGCAGAAGUAUUUCUGGCGUCGUUGCCGGGGAUACACAGCAAACAUCAGGAGUCUUGUUUUACAGUUAUGUUUUCGAUUUAAGCGUGGAACUGGGCAUUCCAAUUACCGGCCCCUUUCUCGUGAAUGACAGUGAAUAAACACAUGUCGAGGAUAACACUCCUAGCAUGGAAGAUACGAAUAGCGCCCUGUCACCACAUGAGUGGUUCGGGCAUGCAAAACAGAUUAUUUCUUGAAGGUUUAGAGAAUGGCACAUGCAAAUUUACUUGGAACGGCAGGUAGAUACCGCAAAUAGGUAGGUAUGGUGGACUCUCAUGGAAAAACUUUUGGGUUUAUGGAAGUGGAUGCACAAGCAGUAUUCCACUUAGUACAAAUGAAGGCUAGCAAAAGACUAGGAAGCGACCAACUAGAGAGCGACAACAGUCAUCAAGAUGCAAUGAGUUUGACUAACAUUGAAUGCAAGCAUGAACAGGAUAUAAAUCACCAUGAACACGAACAUCAUAAAGGCUAUGUUGAUUUUGCUUCAACUACAUGCAUGAACAUGCGCCAAGUCAAGCCACUUGAAAUAUUCAAAUGAGAAUACCAUCCUAUCAUACUACAUCAUAGUCAUCUCAAAAUCUAUGUUGGAAUCCAAGACAAACCAUUAUAAACUCUCAGCUAAAUAAGCAUGGCAUCAGAAACUAUGAUCUCUAAGUUGUCAUUGCAAACAUGGUUCUCUCACAACAAAGCUAAAUCUAGGUCGAUAAGCUAGUCAUAUUUACAAAAAUAAAAUAGAUAGAGUUCAUACCAACUUUUCAGUCUCACUCACUUCAUCAUAUAUCAUCAUUAUUGCCUUUCAUUUGCACGAUCGAACGAUUUGAACAAUAAUAAGAGUGCUCGUGCAUUGGACUAAGCUGAAUCUGCAGGCAAACACAAAGGAGAAGACAAAGUAAUAUGGCUCUUUGAAAGCUAAACAGGUAAGCAUGCAAGAACCACUAAGCAUUGUUACCAAUAUCUUCUACCUUGACACAAAGAAAGAGAAAACUAUUUACACGGGAAAGCUCCCAACAAGCAAAAAGAAGAAAGAAAAAUAUUUUUGGGUUUUCUCAAAGGGGCACAAAACAAGAAAACAAGAAAACGAAAAUAAACUAGCAUGGAUAAUACAGAGGCAAAGUGUAAACAUGGGCUAACAAAGUGAAAGCAUAAGCAUGAAUGUAAAGUCGGUGAGAACACGUACUCCCCCAAGCUUAGGCUUUUGGCCUAGCUUGGUCUACUCCCAAGGUGGGAAAUAACCAGCUCCAGGAUACUCCGGAGCAGACUGUGGAGGCCACUGUUGUGUGAGCUCCUCUGGCUUCCACUGAUAAACUGGCGUCUGGUACUCGACUGGCGGCUCGGGCACGGGCGCCUGUGGUUGGGCCAAGCCCCAAUAUGCGUAGAUGUCCGAGGGCAUAAGAGUGUACCUGCCUGCAUGAAGAUCGAACAAAGAAGGAGCAGGCAAAGUAAUAAUCUCUCGAGUACCCUGACUAAAUAUCAGGUUAUAAAUCAUACGUCUACUAGCAUCUCUAUCCAGAAAAUCAUGGCGAACCAUGCUAUCUUAAUCCAGAUAUUUCUCAGGGAGAAGCAUCUCUCCUUCCUCUCCCAGUCUAAUGGGUAUCUCAAAGUGUCUGGUAAGACGGGUAGCAUAGAUACCUCCAUAGACAACACCUUUAGAACGGUUCAGGUUCAACCGUUGAGCUACUAUAGCACCCAAGCUAUAAGUCUUAUCGUUAUAAAGGCCUUCGCGCAAAACCGCAAGGUCUGGAGAGCUAAGUGAUCCAGCCUCCCCACGGCCAAUCAAACAUUUUCCCACAAAUAAUGAGAAGUACCGAAGCACAGGAAAAUGUAUGCUAGCAAUUCUAGCGCGAGACACUCCUCUCUCCUCUCCAACAGCAAUAGAACCAAUGAAAUCCUCCAAGUCCCAUGGACGAGGGUCACGAAUAUCCCCAACAUAAGGUAAUUUGCAUACAUUGCAAAAAUCCUGCAGCGUCAUGCACUGGGGGACAUCAUAUAUCAUGAAUUCAACCAUGGGAGGAUUCUUCCUCGGAUAAAAGUUGAAGCUUUGGACAAAAAUAUUGGUGAGGAGGAGGUAUUGUGAGCACUUAUCUUCACCGAACGCAGUAAGACCUGCGUUCUCCACCAAGUAAUAAAAGUCUUCAUAAAGUCUGGCGGCGCGCAAAAAUUCAUCACUUGGCCACUCGCACGCUCGAACUUAUGUGACUCGAGGGACUACGUACUUGGGGUGGUUCUUCUCAUCCUCCUUGGGGUUACGGCUUGAAGAGCCUCUCAAGAGCCUCCUCAUCUUUUCCUUUUUCUAGCUCUGAAAAAUUCUGAAAUUUUUAGACUUCGAAAGAAAAGUGAACAAGGAUUAACCCAACUUGUAGCAACUACUCCUACUAGUGUCUAGAGACCGUAUCACGCGCUAAAACUACUUGGGACCAACUAAAAUCAACCUUUCUAGCUCAAGAACGCGGUCACCAAGGUAGCAAGAAUACGCGAAGGAUAAAGCACUAGAGAAAAAACUAAUUGGACCAAUGGAGGAGUCACUUACCAAGGAGUAAUUUCCCCAAGACGGUUCGGAGAAUGGUGCUUUGAGCAAGGAGAUCGAAAAUCAUAGCCAAAUGAGCAAGAACACGGGUUUGAGCUGCGAAACAAUUUUUUCUGGAGGUGGAAGAAUAGGCUGGGAGCUGGAAUGAGUGGAGGGGGUCCCUGUGGCCCCCACAAGCUUGCACUCCGCCACCAGGGGGUGGUUGUGGCAGGGCCUGUGGCCCACUGGUCUGGCCCCCAAGGCAGCUCUUAGGCCCAGUAGUUUUCAAAAAUUCCAGAAAAAAUCAUACUAAAUUUUCAGGACCAUCGGAGAACUUUUAUUUUCAAGGUAUUUUUCUCCAAGACGCUAAAACAGAAAACAGGAAAAGCUAAACUAAUUCUAUCAUUUUUCUUCUAAGCAACAGAAAAUGAAAGCUUUAAAACACAGGUAUGUGACUCUUUGAUUCAUCUGUUUCAUGGUUAUCGAAAGAAAUCCGUCAAUGGGGUUGAUCAAGUCCUUAUGACAAAACCUUCUCGAAUCAAAAGAGAGAACGGAGAAUUUUCGAAUAGCCACUAAGUCACCUCAAUGGGGAUAUGUAUUCCCCCAACAAGCAAAUCAUACUUCAUCUUGACACGAGGAAUAGGGCAUUCAAAGCUCCCAAUAAGAAUCGAUGAAGUCUUUUCAAUAGCAUUGAUGCAAUGUACUGGAUAUCGUUUCUUCGGAAAAUGCACGGUGUGCUCAUUACCGUUGCAAUGGAAAGUGGCAUUGCCUUUGUUGCAAUCUAUAACAGCCCGUGCAGUGUUUAAAAGGGUCUUCCGAGGAAGACAGCCAUGGCAUCGUCCUCGGCAAUAUACAAGAUAACAAAGUCUUUUAAGAUAGUGGUGUUAGCAACCAUAAUAGGCACAUCCUCGCAAAUGCCGAUAGGGAAAGCAGUUGAUUUGUUGGCCAUUUACAGAGAAAUUUCAAUGCCUAUCAACUUAUCCAAUUCAAGUCUACGAUAAAGGGAGAGCGGCAUAACACUAACACCGGCUCCAUGGUCACAUAAGGCAGUUCUUACGUAGUUUCCUUUAAUGGAGCAAGGUAUAGUGGGCACUCCGGGAUCACCAAGUUUCUUAGGGAUUCCACCUUUAAAAGUGUAAUUCGCAAGCAUGGUGGAGAUCUCAAGAUCUGGUAUCUUCCGUUUAUUAGUCACGAUAUCUUUCAUAUGCUUGGCAUACGGAGACAUCUUAAGCAUAUUAGUUAACCGCAUCUGCAGAAAGAUGGGUCUUAUCAUCUCAACGAAGCGCUCAAAAUCCUCAUCAUCCUAUUUCUUGGAUGGCUUAGGAGGAAAGGGCAUAGAUUUCUGAACCCAUGGCUCCCUUUCUUUACCAUGAUUCCUAGCAGUGAAGUCAUUCUUAUCGUAUCUCUUAGGUUGUGGAUUAUCAGGAUUAACCUUAGGUUCAAUCUCCACAUCCUCAUCAUUGCUAGAUUGAGCAUUAUUAUGAACAUCACUGUCCAUAUUGUCACCAGGUUCAUGUUCAUCACCAGAUUGUGUUUCUGCCUCAGACGCAGAAAUAUCAUUAGGUUCUUCCGGUGUGACAGUAUUUGGUGAACUAACAUGUAGGUUUCUAUCAUCCUUAUUCUUCUCCUUAGGAUGACUGGGUGUAUCAGCAUUGAUUCCUUGAGAAUCUUGAUCAAUUCUCUUAGGAUGACCUUCAGGAUACAAAGGUUCCUGAGUCAUUUUGCCUCCUGUAGUAAUGACUCUGACAGAGUUGUCACUUAAUUCAUUGAGCAGGUCAUUCUGAGAUUUAAGUACUUGUUCUACCUGAGUAGUAAUCAUAGAGGCAUGUUUACUCAGAAGCUUCAGAUCAUUGACAUUUCUGUCUACGCAAGCACUUAAAUGGCUAAGCAUACGAGUACUUUGUUCCAAAUGCCUGCUAACAUAAUCAUUGAAACUCUCUUGUUUGGAAACAAAGUUGUCAAAUUCAUCAAAGCAUAGGCUAGCAGGUUUAUCAAAAUGAAUAUCACUCUAAUCAAACCUACACAGAGAAUUCACUUCUACUACCUGUAUCGGGUUAUCGAGACCACGGAUCUCUUUGAUAGGUGGUAGAUUUUUGACAUCUUCAGAUCUAAUGCCUUUCUCUUGCAUAGAUUUCUUGGCUUCUUGCAUAUCUUCGGGACUGAGGAAUAGAAUACCCCUUUUCUUCGGAGUUGGCUUAGGACGUGGUUCGGGAAUAGUCCAAGCAUUAUCGUUGAUCAAUAUGUUAUUCAGUAGAGUCUCAGCUUGUUCCACAGUUCGUUCCCUAAAAACACAACCGGCAAAACUAUCUAGGUGGUCUCUAGAGGCAUCGGUAAGUCCAUUAUAGAGGAUAUCAAGUAUCUCGUUCUUCUUAAGAGGGUGAUCAGGCAAAGCAUUUUGUAGCUGGACGAGCCUCCUCCAAGGUUGUGGAAGACUCUCUUCUUGGAGUUGAGCAAAGUUGUAUAUUUCCUACAAGGCAGCUUGCUUCUUAUGGGCAGGGAAAUAUUUCUCACAGAAUUAAUAGACCUUCUCCUGGGGACUACUCACACAUCCAGGAGGAAGAGAGGUGAACCAGGCUUUAGCUUCGUCCUUUAGAGAGAAAGGAAACAGCUUAAGGAUAUAGUAGUGGCGGAUCUUCUCCUCAUUAGUGAAAAGGUUGGCUAUAUCGUCUAGUUUGGCAAUAUGAGCUACGACCGUCUCAGACUCAUAACCGUGAAAAGGAUCAGAUUUGACUAGAGAGAUUAUCUCAGGAUCGACAGAGAAUUCAUAAUACUUAUCGGUGAUAAAGAUAGGUGAAGUGGCAAACUUCGGGUCGUAUUUCAUCCUAGCUUUCCGAGAUUUUUCCUUCCACUUGAGAAGUAAUUUCUCAGCGUCAUAGCCAUCCUUACACGCAAGAAAAUCCUCAGCUAUCUCUCCCUCCAUAACGUAACCCUCAGGUAUAUCAGGAAAUUCAUAUCUAGGAGAGCUAGAUCUAGCAGGAGAAAAAGCAGGUUCUAUCUCAAUAGUAUCGGCAGUAUAAGAAGCAUCACGAGCAUUGGCAAUAACUCUAGCAAUAUGAUCAUCAAGGAACACCCCUAGUGGAACAUCAGGCAAAGUAGCAUCUCUAGCAGUAUCAAGCAAAGCAUCAUGAGGCAUAGCAUCUCUAGCAGUAUCAAGCAUAGUAUCAUCAGGCAUAGCAUCUCUAGCAGUAUGAGGCAAAGCAGUAUCAGGCAUAGUAUCAAGCAUAGCAUCUCUAGCAGUAGCAUCAUAAGCACCAUCAAGCACAGGCGACAUCUCAAGAUUUCUAGCAGGAGGUGAUGUGGCAAACUUACUCAUAACUGAAGGUGAAUCAAGUCCACAGCUAGAUGGCAAUUCCUUACCUCCCCUCGUAGUUGAGGGCAAGACUUUGGUCUUCGGAUCCUUCACAUUCUUCAUAGUGAUCACCAGAUAUAAAUCCCAAGUGACUCAGAGAAUAUAGCAAUACUUCCCCGGCAACGGCGCCAGAAAAAUGCUGACUCCGUAACAGCAGACCUUCCCUUGCAACGGCACCAGAAAAAUGCUUGAUGUAUGUGCUUCCCUGGCAACGGCACCAGAAGAAUGCUGUUGACGGCCCACCAGCGUGUGGCAUCGUAGCAGUUUUCGAGGGUAGAGUAUUCAACCCAAAUUUGUUGGUUCGCACGACGGGAGGUGAGAUAAUACUCUUAAGUAUUAGCAGCUGAAUAUGUCAGAUUCAACCACCCCUGAAAGAUUAGUAUCUGCAAGCAAAGUUGUAGUAGCAAAGUAGCGAGUAACGACAGUGGCAAGGAACAGCAGUAGUGACAGCAGUAGAAAGUAGCAACAGUAGCAAUCGUCAGUAGUAUCAACAGUAGCAGCAGAGCAAGACAAGUAACAACAGUAGCAACAGUAGUAGCAGCAGCAGAGCAAGACAAGUAACAGCAGUAGCAACAGUAGUAACAGCAGUAAUAGGACAAACUCGUAGGCAAUGGGUCGGUGAUUUGUUUGGAUGAUAUUCAUCAUGCAACAGUUAUAACACGAAGAGAUAUGUGGCUAGCUCCCGUUCGUCAAUGUGAUGUAGGCAUGCAUUCCGUGUGUCGUCAUACGUGCUUAGAGAAAAGAACUUGCAUGACAUCUAUUGUCCAUCCCUCCCGUGGCAGCGGGGUCCAAAAGGAAACUACGGGAUAUUCAAACUAUGGUCAUCACCGGGAGUGGUUCCGGUUAUUGUCACUCCGGGGUUGCCGGAUCAUAACACAUAGUAGGUAACUACAACUUGCAAGAUCGGAUCUAAAACACACAUAUAUUGGUGACAAAUAAUAAUUUCAGAUCUGAAAUCAUGGCACUUGGGCCCUAGUGACAAGCAUUAAGCAUGGCAAAGUAGUAGCAACAUCAAUCUCAGAACAUAGUGGAUACUAGGGAUCAAUCCCCAUCAAAACUAACUCGAUUACAUGAUAGAUCUCAUCCUACUCAUCACCGCCCAGCGAGCCUACGAAUAGAUUACUCACGAACAACGAAGAGCUUCAUGGAAUUGGAGAGGGAAGAAGGUUGAUGAUGACAAUUGCGAUGAUUUCCCCUCUCUGGAGCCCAAAACGGACUCCAGAUCUGCACUCCAGAUGAAGAACAGGUUGUGGCAGCGCCUCCGUAUCGCAAACGCGACAAAAUCUUCUCCUUUUAUUUUUUUCUGGGACGAAAGUGAUCUUAUAGAGCUGAGGUUGGGGGCGGCAGGGCUGUGUGGGCCCCACGAGCUUGCCCACCGCCACCAGGGGGGUGGCGGAGGCAGGGCUUGUGGCCCACUGGCCCACUCCCUCAGGUGGAUCUUGGCACAGAUAUUUUGCAUAAUUUCCAAAAAUGCUCCCCGUAAAUUUUCAGGACGUUUGGAGAACUUUGAUCUCUGCACAGAAACAACACCAAGGCAAUUCUGCUGAAAACAGCAUCAGUCCAGGUUAGUUUCAUUCAAAUCAUGCAAAUUAGAGUCCAAAACAAUGGCAAAAGAGUUUGGAAAAGUAGAUACGAUGGAGACGUAUCAGGCACCGAGAAGGGUCUCCAGAUGAGAUCUCACGGAAACGGAAGCUUGCGAGGGCGGAAAAGUGUUUUCGAGGAUUCCCUGAUUUUUCCUGUAUUUUAGGGAAUAUAUAGGCGAAGGAGCUAGGUCAGGGGGGCGCCAGGGAGGCCACAAGCCUGCCAUCUGCCGCCCCCCUGGUGGCGGCUAGAGGGCUUGUGGGCUCCCUGUAGCUCUCCUGGCUUGGCCCACAAGCCCCCUGAUCUUCUUCCGUUCGGGAAAAAAAUAUUUCGGGGAUUUUAUUCCGUUUGGACUCCGUUCCAAAAUCAAAUCUGAAAAGAGCCAAAAACACAGAAAAAAUAGGAACUAGCACUUGGCACUGAAUUAAUAAGUUAGUCCCAAAAAAGAUAUAAAAGGUACAUAAAACAUCCAAAGAUGACAAGAUAACAACAUAAAACCAUCAAAAAUUAUAGAUACGUUUGAGACGUAUCAUUAUGCUACCAAAAUUUCCAGCCGAAAUUCUCAUGACUUUGGUGUCACGGCAUGAAGGCGUCAGAAGGGGUCAAAGCAUGAAGGUGGAGGAAGGGGUUGGUGAAUUUGCGUUAAAACUAACCUCCCUGGUUAAUGAGAUGCGAGCUCUCGGAUCAAAGAUUGAGGACAUCGCGGUUGUGGAGAAAUUACUACGAGCCGUUCCCGACAAGUUUUUACCGAUCGUUGGCACCAUAAAGCAGUGGGACGAUGUGACGAAGAUGACGGUGAUGGAGGUGAUCGGGCGGCUAAAGACCUAUGAAUUGACAUUGAAAGGACGGGAACACAACCAAGAAGAGGAGCAGUUGAUGUUCUCGUGCAAUAAGGAGAAAGAUAAGCAGAAGUACCGGAAGUUCGACAAAUCUAAAGUUCGUUGCUACAAUUGUCAGGACUAUGGACAUUAUUCUUGAGAGUGUCCUAAUUCGCGGAAGGAGGCAAAGAAGGAGCAUGAGAUUCUGCAACUAGCUAAAGUGGACGUGGAUGACGACCCAGGGUUGCUUUAAAGAAGAAGCUGCGGCGAAAAAAACAAAAAAAGAGUCGUGUCUUUAGUUUUUGUUUGUGUCUGAUCGGCAGUGUGUCUCGGCGAGAAGACGAAGGCCAGCUUAAAGAUGGAUGCGUAUCAGUUAAGUUGAGUUCCUGCAUGAGGGGCUAUGUAUGUAGUCUGCAUGUAGCAGCUAAGAUGUGGCAGCGUGGACUGGUAAUUUAGGAUGUGUUGGUUCCAAGUCAACAAGUCGAAAGUUUGAAUUAGAGGGUGAACAUUGGUAAUCCAAAUAUGUGAGAGUAAAAAUAGGAAACUUUGUUUGAGUCCUUUUGUUUUUCCAUGUAAUAGAGAGUAGUAUGAUAAGAGUACUAGUACGAGAGAACCAUCAGGAUUGAUCGCGAGUAGUAGUCUGUAUAGGUUAGAAAAAUGGACUCGGAGUCGGUCACGUGAGUCAGGUCUUCCACCUAUAUAUCCAGGUGCAAGGUGUGUGACUUUUGUACCAGAAAAACAAGAAAAACAAUAAAGAGAUUUUUACGACGCACGACACGUGCCUCUGCCUAUAUUCGUGUUGUUGCGUUCGCGUGCGCGUGUUCUGAUCCCGGUGUUUGCGUGAGCGCCGGCGAGAUAUCGAGUGCUCAGAUAGUUCGUAUACGUCGAGCCGAGUUACGCGCAUACGACUAGUCAAGCUGCAGGGUGGUCGUGUGUUCGAUCGUAAGGCCGAAAAGCCAACACCGAUGUGGGUUUAACGUCGCUAUUGUUGGGCCUCAAAAUCUCCAAUGAUGAGUCGCCCACAUGCCACAUCGAGUGGCGUGGUUGACCGGCUGACCGCCUAUGGUUGGCCACACGCCAGACCAUGUAUGCAUGGUACGGCUGAGUGACCGACGUAUGAUACAUACACGCGGAGCGGAGCGUAUAGCCGAGGUGGGGAGAGCGACAUGUUUUUUAAAUGACCAUCACAGCCUUUGAAGGUGUAAGGACAGAUCACUGGUGUGGAUGUGUUUAAAGGACAGGGGGGAGUCGUAGCGAAACAAAAGUGGACUANGGGGGGGGGGGUUAUACAGUUUAUUGGUAAGUUAGUAAAUAUGAUGUGAUCUAGCUGGCGCAAAUUAGUUUCAUCAAAAUGGAGUGCUUUAGAUGUUGCCUGUCAAUGUGUACAAGCUUGUGUGGUUCCGCUGAAUAUGUUUAAGCACUCACCACAAANNNNNNNNNNNNNNNNNNNNNNNNNNNNNNNNNNNNNNNNNNNNNNNNNNNNNNNNNNNNNNNNNNNNNNNNNNNNNNNNNNNNNNNNNNNNNNNNNNNNNNNNNNNNNNNNNNNNNNNNNNNNNNNNNNNNNNNNNNNNNNNNNNNNNNNNNNNNNNNNNNNNNNNNNNNNNNNNNNNNNNNNNNNNNNNNNNNNNNNNNNNNNNNNNNNNNNNNNNNNNNNNNNNNNNNNNNNNNNNNNNNNNNNNNNNNNNNNNNNNNNNNNNNNNNNNNNNNNNNNNNNNNNNNNNNNNNNNNNNNNNNNNNNNNNNNNNNNNNNNNNNNNNNNNNNNNNNNNNNNNNNUUAAGCACUCACCACAAAAGUGUUUUGUCACACGUGAGACAUCUUUGAAACCAAGCAACCACACAAUACUAGUGACCGGCUUGUGUAUGUGUGUGUUGGGGUGGGGGGAUGCAUCUACGGACCAUUAUAAAGGCGCCAUUGUGUUACACUUUCAAGGUACAUAUCAUAGCCGCACUUGUCAUGAGAUGAGAAAUACCACACUACUACAUAGUUGAAAGAGGCACUCAUAUAAUAUAGAUAUUAAAUAAGGCAUUAGAAGAAAACGGAAGGAAUGAGUUUCGAUCCUCCUGACCCUGAAAUUUACGAUAGAUUUCUCCCACAGCUUCACUAGCCCCGACCCCAACAGACUACGCGCAUCGCCGGUUAGCGGCAGCACUGGUAUCACGAGCUGGAGUCGGCCUAUCCGGAGAUGGCCUCCUUCUGUCACGCCAUCCAGAAGAAGGCGAACGCCCAAAAGAUGCUAUGCAUGGAUGCCGCUGGAGACCGGGAAUGGACGUCCAUCGGCGAGCAGCUCCGGGCGCUGGACACAGAUGUGGAGGGUGGAGCAGAUGCUGGCAUGGUACGAGGAUUUGUGUGCGGCGGCUGCAUGCGAAGCUGCCACGCAUCCUUGCAGUGCACCUCAGGUCCCACACUUGCAAGCAGUACAUAGUAGUCUCUGAUUUCCAUGUGUACAGGGGUCACCUAUUUGAGAGACAGGUGCCUGAAGCUUUAUCUUGUUUCAGUUAAAAUUUUCCAUGUCCAUUGGAUUUCCAUCCAAAGACUGAAGUAGAAGCAAGCAUCGCUCAUUGUUGGGUUCAUCACAUAAAGUUUCUUUGCUUCAAUCGAUUUUAUGCAUGGAUGCAACACUACUAGUACUAGACAUUUUUCUGUUGUGUGAAGUAGUACUAUACAUAUCAUCUAAUCCACUAGUUAACACUUGUCCUUUAUGCAUGCACAUGUAAUCACUGUAUAACCAUCACCAGCUAUAGGACUUCAAAAAGAUCAUCACCAUGCAUCAUGUAUAUACAUUUUCAGUGAUAAGUAUAUUUGCUUGCACGCACAUACACCAUAACUAUACAAAUUAAUGGAAGGGGAAAAUAAGGAAUUAAAACAAUGAUUCUAGUCUUUCAUUUUUAGCAGCC
rnacentral:lncRNA from 1 species